CUUAUGCCUUCACACCUGUCAGAAUAUUGAGCACUGAAUUUUAAUUUACCAAUUUCCCUACCAUCCAGAUCCGACUUAUGUUCUAAGUUAUACACAGGUAAGAUCCCACACCCCUUGAUCCCCUCUGUUGACCACCACAAUUCUUCAUUGAGAUCUUGAUGCAUGAAUUGAAAUGAUAGGUUGCAAUCAUUACUUCCAAGUUUUUGUCUGUUGUAAGGAUGCCAACAUAUCAAAACGUGAUCUGAAAUUAAUGCCCCAAUAUAAGCGUCAUGAAUAACAAAACACCUGUCAACUUCUUUGCCGUGUUCAAAGAUAACACAAUUCAGGGGGAGAUUGUGAACAUGGAAGCACUUCGAAACAAUGGUGCAGAAUAUGAAACCAGACAGGUUAGAUUUUGGAAUAGGAGGAAUGGUUAUUGAAGCCUUUGUUGUUUGAAAAUCAAACUUGCGAGGAAUUUGUGCUGACAAAGUAAUUGUUGACAUAUCUUUGGAAUUUUCCAAAGAAGAAAUGGUGGAUUCAAACCUUUCAGGAACAGUUACAGGGCAUUUUCGGACUAUCCUUAUAUCAGAAAACUCACCUCCUAGCAACCUCACAUUGUUGACAAUGCUUAGAAGUUUGUCAGCAUACUCAUUGAUUGUUUCUGACUCCUUCAUCCGCUGCAUCUCAAACUCCCUGAUCAAAUUCAGCACUUGCAUCCCUUUGACUUUCUCAUUUCCUUCAUACUCUUGUUUGAGAAAAUCCCAAAUUGCUUUUGCUGACUUCAGAGCCAUGAUUCUUGUGAAAAUUGCUUCAGAAACAGCAGAAAAUAGAUAAGACUUUGCCUUUGAUUUUCGCUGCUUUCUCUCCUUAUGGUUUCUGAUUUGUGCAAGCGUUGGAUUGUCUGGUAAUGGCUCAACCUCGUAAUCAUCCUCAACAGCCUCCCAAAGAUCAUGAGUAUCAAGAUAAGCCUCCAUUCUGGUUGGCCAUAGGUGAUAAUUCUCACCCUCAAAGAUUGGCAAUUUUAUGGCUGAGUUAUCAGAGUGCAUUUUCAACUCUUUGGUAAGUGUUUGGGUGUUUAGUGGAACUCUCAACCUCACCAGGUCCCUUAAGAACAAGAAUGCUCUUGAUACCACUGUUGGAAUUUAGAAAAGAAAAUUAAGCAGACUUAUGAGUUCUGAAAACUGAAACACACACAUUUCAUUCCUUCUAACAACCUUUAAAUACAAGAAACUCAUAAUCAGAAAUAAACAAAAACAAAAACUGCCUAUAAAUUUGUACCAGAACAACAUAAAUUUGUAACCUCCCAUAAUUCCUAUAAUUAAAAUCAUAACAGUCAUAACCAUAGGAAUACUGCAAUAAACUCUAAUAAUAGGUUCUGAUCCAUAUUCUCAACAAGUUUUAUGCUACUCGUAUGAAAUAUACAAGUCAUGACAUGUAGAAAUCUGGAUAGGUCGUUUUUCUUACCUAUAAUUUUGAGAGUCCCAACCAACUAAAUUAGCUGCCUCAGUGAGAGCGGCUUUCCAUUUAUGCAACUUGUCAUUAUUGUGCUUCAAAUCUCGCUUAUGUUUUGCAAAUGCUUGCUUGUAACUCCCGGUCUGCUUCCUCACAUGUGAUGGAAUGUUGUAAAAAACAGGUAUCACGGUCAAUUCCAUAUAUUGCUUGCAUUCUAGAAUCUUUUUGAGCUCAUUUAAGCACCAUUUUGAAGAAGCAUAGUUUUCUGAGAAGAUGACAAUAGAUGCAUGUGACUCCUCAAUGGCUUUGAUGAGUGCUGGCGAGAUCUCAUCUCCUUUUUGAAGCUCAUUGUUGUCUAUAAAGGUUUCAACUUUCUUUCGGCUCAGAGCAUCAUAAAGAUGGCAUGUGAAGUUUCUGCGGGUAUCCUCACCUCGAAAGCUAAGAAAAACGUCAUAUUUUUUCACAGAUUCCACAGAAGAAGAAAACACUGUUUGUUUGCUUCCUAGCCAUUAAGAAUUCCAAGUGCUGCGCUAAUCACAAUGCUACACUCAAACAUAAAAAAUAUUUGAUGUUUAAAUGUGCUUGUGCUCGGUUACUUUUUGUACUGGCAAUCGUAAUAGUGUUACAUACUGAGAUUCAUAAAUCAGAUUGACAUCAGAUCAGUUAGUUCAAAGUUCCCAUAUUGCUCAUAUAUCAACCUAGAUAAUGUGUAUCUUUUGACCUAGAAAAGCUAUACAAUAUGGCAAUUCCACGGGCCAGAUUCAUUAUUACUUUACAUUCUUGUGCUAUUUAUGUCUAGUUUUAUGUGUGGACUCCCAUGAUGUUUAACCUUGUUGCUUGAAUUGAAUUCUAGGUUUUAUCGGGUUUGCUCUUCAUUAGCCUUUUAAUGUCUCUUCGUUUACUGAGUUUUUUCGUGUUCAAAUCGUAAGUUAUCGGCCAAUUUAGUCAAAAUUUAAUCUCUGUUAAACAUUGAGUAAGUAAUUAACAAAUAUGAAGACUAACAUAUAGCAUUCAUUCUUCAGAACCAAUUUGAUAUUUGUUACUCAAUUUGAAAGACUAAUUUGAAAUAUUUGUCAACAAAAGGUAUGGUCAGUCAAAACUAAUUUUAUCAAUUUAUUGAUUUGAAAAUCUAUGAUCAAUUUGACAAUGAUCUAUGUAAUUAGAGAAACUAGUAGUUAAAUUAAAAUUGAGGGAAAAAAGAUCAUACCAAAGUCAGAAUCCAGCAAUAGUUGAGGAGGAAAAGAGUGUAGAGUGACAGUCACAAUCCCUAAAGGGCUUAGUUUAUGUUGGAAGGAAUGAUGUGCACAACAGUUCAUAAUGCUUUGGUCAUGAUUUUAUAAUGGAUUGAUCAAAAUUAAAAUAUAAAAUAAAAAUAACAAAUUGUUUUUUACUCCUUCAUAGAAGUUUCGUUUCCUAUGGUGGUAAUAUAAUACAAUAACAAUAUUGACUUGGGUUCCAAUCUAGUUGCUAUGAAAGAUGUCAUGACAUUUUUUUUUUUUUGAGAGGGAAAUAUGUCAUGACAUUAUUAUUAGUAUUAGUAUUUUUAUGGAAAAAAUAUUAAGGGGAUUCCAUGCCUCAUUGGGGUCAAGAAAAAACUCAAGGCCUACAAUACAAGAGGAUAUUUUUUCUCAAAAAAAAAAAGAGAUAUUUCAUCAAAAAAAAUAUACAAGAGGAUAUUUAGGAAAACAAUGAUGUACACAUAUAGUGUGAAUCUAGUUUCCUAUGUUAAACGAAAAUAAUUGGUGCAUAAGGUUCCAUUGCCUCUUUCUAUAGUGUGAAUCUAAUCUCCUAAGCUUUCAUCACCAUAACUUGACCACAAGGUUUAUUACUUUUGAAGAACCUGCAACAAAUUUGAAAAACUAUAGAAUUCAGCUCCAUGGAUAUAUCUUGUAUAAACCAUAGACAAAACCAUAGAUUUCAGCUUAUUAAGCCAAAACCCAAUAAGACUAGUAAAAGAGACAAAAUCAAAACCAGAAAUCCUCCUAAGCCUAUAACCAGAAAAUGAUACUUUUGAUAUGAGCCCAGAUCAGACCCUGCUACUAACUAUCAAUAAACAGGCAACAACGUAGACAAACUUGCACUGAUAUCAAUAACCUCAGACCAACAUACAAUAGCAAAAAAAAAUAUUAUUGAACCAAAAAAUCAAAACAAUACUCAAAAUUGAGCAACGAAACAGAAUAGAACACUCCAAAACCUAAGAAUCCUUCAACCAUCAUAAUAACAAACAAAAACACAUCCCAGAUAUUACCUAGUCUGAUAUCAAUAACCUCAGAGUACUAUUCAGUUCCAUAUUGCAUUGUAUAUUUAAUUCCAUAAUACAUAUUCAAUUCCUUAAUCAUGCACAUAGAUCAUAAAGUUGAAUUACCUUUUGUUUUCCCUAUUGAACCGCCACGCAAAAGUUUCACUUCUCUGAAUUAAUUUAAAGUUCUACCAUAAUUGAAUCCAUGUCAAAUUUGAGUUCCUGCGUAAAACACUGUAACGUUGAAGUUACAUAUUAAAGUUCUACCAUAUUGCCAUUCUUUUUUACUGCUUCAUCCUACAAAGCAGAGAUGUGAAUGUUUGUUUAAUGAUAUGAAAGAUAUUUGAGUUCAAAGAUGGAAUUAGCACCAAAAACACACAUGAACGUGAAAUCUUUUCAAAUGGGAUUCGUUCUGCAAAUCCUCUAAAUUCCUGUCAAUCAAAAUAUUCACAACCAGCACAGGUGAAAAAUGAGAACAGAAGUUCCACAAAUGCAGGUUAAGGGCCUCUUUGGUUGUAUUCUUAAUUUUUCGUCUAUUCAAAUGGAAACAAACUUCUGAAAAGAAUUGAAUUCUAGAAACAUGAGAAUUUUAAAAACAAUUCUUCAAGUGAAGGAUUUAAAUCUUUCAAUAAAAUAAACUAAACCAGCAUGGAAGGUAUGAUUGUAAAAUGGAAAUUAUACAGUGCUACAAUCAAAGUAAUUAACGGCUACUAACUAGCAUAACCUCUACGAAUUAGAGAGCUUCUGCCAUGUUUAAAGAUACAAACAUACAAUUACACAUUGUGAUAAUAAGAAGGUUGUUCCUAACCAUCUUCAGUUUCAUUGUUAUAGCUUCUGCCUUCACCUCUAAUUGCUAUAGACACAUCAGAGUCUUGAGCAAUGGAUUUUAAUUUACCAAUUUAAUUACUAAUGCUACUACCCCAAUAUUCCCAUACAGGUAAGACCCCACACCCCUUUAUCCCCUCCUUUGACCACCACAAUUCUUCAUUGGGAUCUUGAUGUAUGAAUUGAAAUGAUAAGUUGUAAAUAUCAUUACUUCCAUUUUCUUGUCUGUUGUAACCAUGCCAGCAUAUCAAUACAUGAUCUGAAAUUAAUGUCCCGAGAUAAUUGUGACUAAUACGAGAUCUGUCGACUUCUUUUCCGCAUUCCAAGAUGAUACAAUGAAGGGCAUGAUGGUUAAUAGUGAAGUCAGAUUUUGGAAUAGGAAGAAUAGUUAUUGAAGCCUCAGUUGUCUGAAAAUCAAAAUAUAAUGGAACUUGUGCUCCGGGCAGGAAAGAGAAAGCAUCGAUAACACCUUCAUCUUCAAUAGAACGGUCUUCAAUGAACUUUUGUGACCUGUUACUAAGCAAUGACCAUUGUAUGAAGUCUGUGUCCAGAUAAGUGCAAUUAACAGCUUUUAAAUAUAACAGGGAUAAUAGAAGCUCUGUCAGAGACACAAGUUUCCUGCAAUCGUCUAAUUCAAGCCAUUCUAGCAUUAUAUGGUUUUGUAUGUUCUCAGGGAGACAUUCUAAGUUGCAACACUCAUUCAAUUUUAGCCGUUUUAAAGAUCGUAUACCAUCAAGUAUGGACCAUAGACUUAAUGCAUUGAUUUCUGUGCACCCUGAAAGGUCUAGCUGUGUAACAGACCCCAGUCCAUGAUCAUCUGAUAACUUAUUCCCAACAAUGUUAAGCUUGUUACACUUAGUUAUGGAAAGAGAAGUAAGUUUGGUAUUACGCCAAAUCGAUGAAGACAACUCACGUAUAGCAGUGCCACGUAAGAAUAACUCUGUAAUUUCCUCCAAUGUAACCGAAAAUUCUGUGAGAGAUGAACAACCAUCCAGUAAGAGUUCACGAAGAGAUUUUGAAUGAAUGUUCGUUUUAAGGCUUUCAAUAGUAAUGCAACCUCCUAAAUCUAGAAAUGUAAGUCGAGGGAGAGAAAAGAUGGAUGGAUGGAGCUGACGCAAGCUUUCACAUUGACAGAGAGAUGCUCUUCCAAGAUUUGUAGCCCUAGAUAAGUCGGGGAUCUCAAUCAGAUCUUUGGAGUAAUUAAGGCAGAUUGUGAUUAGAUUUUACAAGAUUCUGUAACAAGAAAUAAACAUGCAUAAGUGUUGAUUAAAAGAGAAACAAAACCUAGUUAAGAAUAAAUAGAGGCAUGUCAUCCUAGCUCUGCUACAAUUUUGUGAAUAGCACGAGACUCCUCUUGUACCUUUAUAAAGUUAACAAGUAUAUCCAAACAUAUUUGUACCUGAACUCCAUCUCAGAGAUUUUUAAGCUUGCUAUGAGUCAUGCUAAGCUCUACAAGCAUUUCAGCACAAAAGUUUGAUGGAAAAGACUAAAGACAAUAUCCCUCCCAUUGAAGGUACCUCAAUUUAUCAGAAAGCCACUCGAGACCAUCAGGAAAAUGUACAUUGCAUAUGCUCCCGUUGGAUAUAUUAUGAAUCUUAAGAUAUCUUAAGUUUGCCAUCCUUCUAAAGGAAUCAGACUUCAAGUAUAGAUCCCCAACUUCCGUAGUAUCGAAUAUUAUACCUUCCACAACUUCAGUUCCCUGACAACAAAAAUUAGAUUAAUAAUUAGGAAAGGCUGUCAUAUGUACUUUCAUUGUUAUAUUUUAUAAUUACAUACAUAUAUUUUCAUAUAUAUAUAUAAGUGAUUGCAUCCUCUGCUUACCUUGUUUUCUUUUAAUAUAUCAGAUAUUUCUUUAGCUCUCCACAACCGACUUCGUUUUCCAGGGUUUAUAGAUUCUUGAUUAACAAUCUCCCGUCCCAUUUCUUGUAACAAAUCAUGCAUAUGUAAACUAUCAACUUCAAACUUGGCAUACGAGUGCCAAUUUGGUUUUACUUGUAUGAGAGCUUUAUCUAAAAGGACUUCUAUCCCACUUUCUGCAAAGAACUUACAAGCUUCCAACAAAUCUAUUAUAAAUAUUUUAUGCUCUCCUCUCAAAAAGCAUGCAAUAUCUAAAAAUAUGGCCUUUUAAAAAAAAUCUAAGUCAUCAUAACUGAAUUUUAACACGGUAUAAAUUUUCCUAUUUGGAAUCUUUUCGAGCUUUUUCAAUUCAUUUUCCCAUGCCUCUUUGCCUCUUGAGCGGAGAUUUUCCCCUAAAACUUUUAAAGCCAGAGGAUUGCCUUUGCAAUAGGCAAUUACACUUUCUGAUAGAUCUUCACAUCCAAUUUUAGACUGUUUUUCUCCGAAGGCAUUCAAACUGAGUAGCUGAAGAGAAUCAUGGUUGUUCAAUUCCUUGACCUCAUAUAUCUCACAUUUACUGAACUGACUAAAUAUGUGCUUAUCUCUAGUUGUCAUAAUGACCCUACUACCCGGUCCCAGCCCAUCAAUUUUUAGGAUAAGAUCUUCUAUUUGCUCUAAGGUUUCUCUGCCAUCCAACACAAUUAAAACUUUUUUACGUGAAAUCCUUCUCUUGGAGAAAGUGGCUUCUAUGUAGGAUGCAUCAGGAUGAAUAUUUUCCUCCUCUAACAAUGAGGAUAAAAGUUUAUUGUAUACAACAUUAUGUCCAUACCUGUUUGAUUCAUCAAUUACAUUGAGAAAGCAACAACCUUCAAAUUGAGAAUAAAUUAUAGCAUAUGAAGCCCUAGCAAGAGUGGUCUUUCCUAUGCCACCCAUGCCCCAUAUUCCAAGGACUCUAACAUCAUUUGAGCCAAUUUUCAGUAUUGACUCAAUUUGGUCAUAAUUUUUCUCAACUCCAACAAGCCCCUUAAUUUCACAUGGGUAUCUAAGAUUCAGUUUCCGCAAAACAUUUUUAACAAUGUCCUUAAUGAAGUCCGAUUCGAUCCUAGAAUAUGAACGAGGGGAAGAAGAUUUUACAAGUCUAACAAAUACAAUAGUAGAAAAGUACAUCUAUAUGAUUAGUAUACAAAAUUUAUAGUCAAUAAGGUGACAGUGGCUUAGUAGAGCAAGAAACAAACAAAAAUUAGAUUUGGGGAAACAAAAUACCAAAGACACAAGGUAAUAAAUGUAUAUUUUCUAUGACUUUGGUAGUUUUCAGAAGGUUGUGUCAACUAUUACUUUGGCCUGUUUAUUUUCAAAAAUUAUUUUUAGUGUUUGUUUUCUAAAAUUUAUGUUCAUUUCCAAUUAAGAAUAUGGAGAUGAAAGACUCAUGUAGUAAAUAGCUGUGCUAUAUUAGAAAACAAAACAUGUAAAUGAUAUGAAAUAGUUUAUUUAUUUUACUUCGAAUUUUUUCGUUUUGUUUACCUGUAAUUUUGAGAGUCCCAACCAACUAAACUAGCUGCCUCAGUGAGUGCAUCUUUCCAUUCCUGUAACUUGUCAUUAUUGCUCUUCAAAUCUCGCUUAUGUUUUGCGAAGGCUUGCUUGUAACUCCCAGUCUGCUUCCUCACAUGUGAUGGAUCUAUGUUGUAAAAAACAGGUAUCACAAUCUGUACCAUAUAUUUCUUGCAUUCAAGAAUCUUUUUGAGCUCAUUCAAGCACCAUUUUGAGGAAGCAUAGUUUUCUGAGAAGAUGACAAUAGACACAUGUGACUCCUCAAUGGCUCUGAUGAGUGCUGGCGAUAUCUUAUCUCCUUUUUGAAGCUCAUUGUUGUCUAUAAAGGUUUCAACUUUCUUUCGGCUCCGAGCAUCAUAAAGAUGGCAUGUGAAGUUUCUGCGGGUAUCCUCACCUCGAAAGCUAAGAAAAACGUCAUAUUUUUUCACAGAUGCCACAGAAGAAGAAAAAACACUGUUUGUUUGCUUCCUAGCCAUUAUGAAUUCCAAGCGCUGCGCUAAUCACAAUGCUACACUCAAACAUAAAAAAUAUUUGAUGUUUAAAUUUGUUCUCGGUUACUUUUUGUACUGGCACUCGUGAUAGUGUUACAUAUUGAGAUUUAUAAAUCAGAUUGACAUCAGAUCAGGCAGUUCAAAGUCCACAUAUUGCUCAUAUAUCGACCUAGGUAAUGUGUAUUUUUUGAUCUAGGAAAGCNACAAUUGUAAAUCCCGCCUUAUUUGCUUGACGACGCACCCACUCAAGCAAUUCAUCUCUAUCUUUCGACAUAACGUCGUCUGACAAAAAAACUAGCCGUGUCGACCUCGUGGGCUUGAAGUGGGAGGACACCGGAGCCGCCAACAUACUUUGAAGCUUCAACAUGGAAGGAAGCUCCAUCAAUGUUUGAUUUCGCUUCACUUUAGGCGGUUUGACAUCUCCGGAAAUUUCGACAAAAUUUUGUUUUGUCUCUCCCGAAACAUCUUCCGCGUUCUCUACCAUUACUAUAAUUAAACAACACAUAAAUAUGAAUUAACAACUAACUAAUGUAUAAACAUCAAUGCCAUAAUGAAUUAAAACAAAAAAACAAAAAAAAGAAUUUUUUUUUUGAAAAACUGGCAGUAGCUGCCAUUUUUUCGAUGUGAAAAUUUUUCACAAGAGUUCCUCGGCACCUUACUACCGAGGUUUUCCUCGGCACUACACUAUCGACGUUUUCCUCGGCAAUUAACUGCCGAGGAUUCCCAUGACAAGGUUCUAUGUAACUGACGUAGAUACCCAUAAAAUAGCCCAAAAAUCAAUCGAAUAAAAUGCACAAUACCUAUUUUUUACGUCAAAACUGUGUUGAUACCUCCUAUGCUUGAUGCUUGAAUGAUUUUGGAUCAAUAAUUGAUUAAAAAAAAUGGAUUUUGGGAUUGAAUAAUGGAGGUGGAAAUGAAGUUGAUGAAGAAAAUAGUGUGUAGGGGGAGCAGGUGGUUGUUUCAUCUGAUGAAACAUUCUCUCGGCAGUUAACUGCAGCCGGAAUUCAAAUUCCUCGGCAGUUAACUGCCGAGGGGGUAAAAUCGUAUUUUACUAGUGUGUCACAGCCUUAUCAAAUGUGGGAACAACAAUUCUCAUUUGUUUAAGGUGAUGGUGAAAAGAAGGUGAAGAAAGGGAGAAAUAAUUAGGUGUUUUUGACUCACCGUAAGAUAAAAUACACCUGUAUAAUUGAAUGAUCAUCUUUUUAAAAAAACAUAUCAAGGGUUUAAAUUAAAAAUUUUCAUAAGGUCUAUGGUGGACUACUUUUAAGAUUGAUUCACAAUAGACAUUUGGGGGUUAAACUUAACACCAAUGAUUUAUUUGGCAAACAGAAGAAAAGAUGAAGGACUUAAAGGUACGUUUUAUUAAUUUUGGGACCAAAAUGAAAAGUUAAAAUUAAUUAAGGGAUCAUUGGAUCAAAUAAACCUAACAUUAACCAAGAGGAAGAAAUUUCGGAUAACGUAUAACAAAUGAUGUUAAAGUGACGGAUUGCAUUACUAUCCAGUAACAAUAAGAUUAGCAGAAUUAAUAAUAGGAACGUAGUUUUAUAUUUGUUUGUUAUGUUCUGAGUAAUAAUAGAUAAUUUAGUUGUAUAUCCUUACAUAUAAAUAACUUCGUAUUUUUUUUUGUCAAUUGUUUAGUGGUUAAAACUCACACAUUUUUUAUUAAAAAAAAAAAAAAAACUAAGAUAAGAAAAUGGGGUUAAGAUGACCGGUUCCAAUCUACUUUCUAUCAACAAAAAAAUGGGUUUAUGCCCCGCUAAAUAAAAUAACAAUAAUAAAAUAAAUAUAAUAACCAUAUUAAUUAAUAAAUAACAAAGAUAAGAAAUGGGAUUAAGAAAGGAAGGAAGGAAAAAUCCAAAGUGUCUUCUAGGAGCAAAGGUGUCAUGACAUUAUUAUUAGUAUUUUAUGGAACAAUAUUUAGGGUAGCAUGCCUCAUUCUAGUUUAAGAAAAAAUUCAAGGUUCAAUAAAUGCUUGCAUAAAUACUUACAUACUAUUCAUUAAUUAAAUAUAAGUUGCAUUCUUACAAAAUUGCUGACAUGACAUUAUUCUUUAACAAGCAUACAAAGAAAUAUGACAUUAGAGAUAGUGACCCUUUAAGUAAAAAUAUGUACAUCCUCCGAUUAUAAAAAAAUUAAUAUUUUAUAUUCAUUCAUUAAAUUAUGUUUCAUUAAAUUAUGUAUGUGGUUAAUAAUAAAGACUAUAUACAUCAUUUAAUGAAUGAAUCUAAAAUGUUAAUUUUUGCCUAUAAUAAUAAUAUAAUAAUAAUCGGAGGAUGUAUUAUGAAUUUGUCAAUAUGCGUGGUCAGAUCAGAUGCAUAAAAAAUAAAACUUACAUUGUGAAUUCAAUUUCCUAUAUUAAAACUUACAGUGUGAAUCUAAUUUCCUGUAUUAAAACUUAAGGUGUGAAUCUAAUUUUCUAUAUUAAAGUAAAUAGUUGUUACAUGAGGUCCAUUUCUUUUUAUUUGUUUCUUACCAAUCAAUUUCAGUAACCUUUAAACAAAUGUCAUAUUGUUGAAUCGUGAACUUUCUUCACACGUUCAAUGGCUGGUCCAAUUGAGAAAAUAUUAAUGAAUACAUGCUUUGAUAAAUUAUUUAUCAAAAACUGAUUUAUAUACUUUUUAUACACAAGGAAUUGAGUUGGACAAACCCCUUCACUCCGACCUCAUCCCCCAACCUCUCUCACUGCCAAUUUCAAGUGUGUUUAGCUGAGAAAAAGUUAUGUAAUAUUUUGAGGAAAUUCAAAUUCUUUUAAAUAAAUUUUGUUUGUUUGAAUGAUUAAAUUUAGAGAAUUUAUCAUAUUAAUGAAAUUCUAUGAAGUAUUAUGUUAAGUUAAAUUGAGUGAAUUUCAAAUGAUAUCUAAGGUUUAAGAAUUUCAAAUUUCCUACUAGAUAUAUAUUUCAAAAUUUCCAAGUUGGUCCCCAUAUUUUUCAAAAAAAAUAAAUUGACCCUUAAAUAUUUAAAAUAAAUUGCAAAUUGAUCCUUACAAUUUCUUGAAAAUUAUAAAUUGACCACUUUCAAUUUUUGAAAUCUACAAAUCAGCCCUCUAUUUUUCAAUUUUCAAAUUUGGCCCAAAAUUUUAGAAUAUAUAAAAGUAAGUAGCACAAAAAUAUAACUGAAGUAUUUUAUCACUGUAUCCAAACAAAAAUAUUUAAAAAUAAAGGCAUCUAGCGUCGAUCAUCUCACAAGGUGUUGGGAUGAUUUAUACCGCCGCUUUGAAAAUUAGAACUCUAAGACUAAGAAGGAAAAGAUGAAGGGAACUUGCUACAAAUGGUAUUAUUAAUGUGGCUUGGUGGAACUCUUUACCCUUCUUUACUAGGGAUGACUUUUAUAAAGACCGCUAUGAAUUUUUAAAUUAUCGUUCUCCAUAUCUCUUUGUAUUUUAAUUUGGUUUAUGUUUUGGUUUGGUCCUCCUCUGGUACGGUUUUUCAUUUUUUCAAUAAAUUUUUAGAUCAAGCUGACAUAGGAUGUGGUGAUUUUGAAGUGUCAACAUAGUUGAGAUGUCAAACCUUCUUUUUCAUUGUUGGAGCUUAUGACUUCACCUCCAAUUGCUGAAGGCUGUAACUCAUUAUAAUUUUCCUGCCCACCAGAAUAUUGAGCACUGAAUUUUAAUUUACCAAUUUCCCUACCAUCCAGAUCUGACUUAUGUUCUAAGUUAUAUACAGGUAAGACCCCACACCCCUUUAUCCCCUCCGUUGACCACCACAAUUCUUCAUUGACAUCAUGAUCUGAAAUUAAUACAUGAUCUGAAAUUAAUGUCCCAAUAUAAUUGCAAGCAAAAGUAAAACACGUUUCAACUUCUUUGCCGUUUUCAAAGAUGACACAAUGCAGGGGGUGAUUGCAAAUAUGGAAGCCCUUAGAAAGAAUGGUGCAGAAUAUGAAACCAGACAGGUUAUAUUUUGGAAUAGGAGGAAUGGUUAUUGAAGCCUUUAUUGUUUGAAAAUCAAACUUGCGAGGAACUUGUGCUCCUGGCAAGAUAGAGAAAUAAAAAUCAUCAUGUUCAUUUGCAUGAAAAGGGUAUUUAGAGAAGAUUUGUACCAUGUUCUCAAGAAAUGACCGUUGAGUGGAGUCUGUGUCCAGAUAAGUGCAAUUAAUGGCACUCAAAGAUAAUAGGGAUGGCGGAAGCUCUGUUACAGACACAAGUUUCCUGCAAUCAUCUAAAGCUAGACUUUUUAGCAUUGAAUGGUUUUGUAUGUUCUCGGGGAGACAUUCCAUGUUGCAACACUCAUGCAAUGAGAGCCAUUUUAAAGACUGUAUGCCAUCAAGGAUAGACCACAGACUUAAUGCAUUGAUUUCUGUGCACCCUAAAAGGUCUAGCUCGGUAACAGACCCAAGUCCAUGAUCAUUUGUUAACUUAUUCCCAACAAUGUUAAGCUUGUUACACUCGGAUAGGCCAAGCGAAGUAAGUUUUCUGUUACGCCAAAUCGAUGAAGACAAUUCACGUAUAGCAGUGCCACCUAAGGUCAACUCUGUCAUUUCAUCUGAUGUCACCGAAAAUUCUGUGAGAGAUGCACAACCAUCGAGUAAGAGUUCACGAAGAGAUUUUGAAUGAAUGUUGGUUUUAAGGCUUUCAAUCUUUUUGCAGUCUCGUAAAUCUAGAUAUCUAAGAUCAGGGAGAGAAAAGAUGGAAGGAUGGAGCUGACCCAGGCUUUCACAUUGAAAAAGAUAUACUCUAUGAAGAUUUGUAGCCUUAGAUAAGUCUGGGAUCUCAAUCAGAUUUUUGGAGGAUUCAAGCCAAAGUAUGUUUAGAUUCACAAGAUUCUGUAAAAAGAAAUAAAAACACCAUUUAAAUUCAUAAAUAGAGAAACUAAACCUAAUUAAGCAUAAAUAGAGACUUUUUAAGAAUGAGCAUUAGACUUCCUCUCAUACUUCAACAAAUUAACAAGUAUAUCCAAACACAUUUGUACCUGAACUCCAUCCCAUAGCUUUUUAAGCUUGCUAUGACUCAAGUGAAGCUCUAUGAGCAUUUCAGCACAAAAGGUUGAUGGCAAAUACUCAAGACAGUAUCCUUCCCAUCGAAGAUACCUCAAUUUAUCAGAAAUCCACUCAAGACCAUCGGGAAAGUACACAUUGCACGUGUUUCCUCUAGAUUUAUUAUAGAUUUUAAGAUAUCUUAAAUUUGUCAUCCUUCUAAAGGAAUUAGACUUCAAGUAAAGAUCCCCCACAUCUGUACUAUCGAAUGUUAUCCCUUCGACAGCUUUAGUUCCCUGAUAAAAAUUAAAUUAAUAAUUAGGAAUGGUUGUCACGUAUACUUUCCUUGUUAUAUUUCAUAAUCAAAUACAUGUGUUAUUUUCAUGUAGAAGUGCUUGCAUCCUCUACUUACCUUGUUAUUUUUCAAUACAUCAGAAAUACAUCAGAUAUCUCAUCAGCUUUCCACAGUCGACUUCGUUUUCCAGGGUCUUCAGAUUCUUGAUUAACAAUUUCCCGUCCCAUUUCUUGUAACAAAUCAUGCAUUUCUAUAAUACAAACUUCCCAUUUGACAUGCAAAAUUGAACCUAGUUGAAUGAGAGCCUUAUCUAGAAGGACUUCUAUCCCACUUAUUGCAAAGAACUCACAAGCUUCCAAUAGAUCUCUUACAAAAGUUUUAUCUUUUCCAUUCAACAAGCAUGCGAUGUCUAGAAAUAUGGCCUUCUGACAAUGAUCUAAAUCAUCAUAACUCAAUUUUAACACAUCAUAAAUCUUUCGAUUGGGAAUCUUUUGGAGCUUUUUCAGUUCAUUUUCCCAUGCUUCUCGGCCCCUUGAACUGAGAUUUGCACCUAAAACUUUUAAAGCCAGAGGGUUACCUUUGCAAUAGGCAAUUACACUAUCUGAUAGAUCUUCAUAUCCAGUUUUAGGAUGUUUUUCUUUGAAGGCAAUCAAACUGAAUAGCUGAAGAGAAUCAGGCUUCUCUAAUUCCUUAACCUCAUAUAUUUCACAUUUACUCAACUGACUAAAUAUCUGCUUAUCUCUAGUUGUAAUAAUGACCCUACUACCUGGUCCUAGACCAUCAAUUUUUAGGAUAAGAUCUUCUAUUUGUUCUAAGGUUUCUACACCAUCCAAAACAAUUAAAACUUUUUUACGCCCAAUCCUUCUCUCGGAGAAAGGGGCUUCUAUGUAGGAUGCAUCAGGAUGAAUAUUUUCUUCCUCUAACAAUGAAGACAGAAGUUUAUUGUGUAGAACAUUGAGUCCAUACUUGUUUGAUUCAUCCAUUACAUUGAGGACGCAACGACCUUCGAAUUGGGAAAAAUGUUUAGCAUAUAAUGUCUUAGCAAGGGUGGUCUUUCCUAUCCCACCCAUGCCCCAUAUUCCAAGUACUCUGACUUCAUUUGACCCAAUUUUCAGCAUUGAUUCAAUUUGUUCGUAAUUUUUCUCAAUUCCAACAAGCCCCUUAAUUUCAUAUGGGUACCUAAUAUUCAGUUUCCGCAAAACAUCUUCAACAAUGUCUUUAAUGAAGUCUGGUUCACUCCUAACAUAUGAAAGAUGGGAAGAAUGUUUUACAACAAAAGAAAAAUGCAUUCAUAUAUAUGAUUAGGACAUAAUAAAAUUUAUAUUCAACAUGGUGGCAGAGUAGAGCACAUAAAGAAAAUCAAUUACGUAAGACACAGAAGAUAAUUAAUGUCUUAUUUUUUUAGGAAGUGAAAUCCUAAAGAAAAUUCCAAAAAAUUGUAUAGAUUUUAAAAAAAUUGUAUGAUAACUAUGGCCAGGCACAUCAACAUCAUUGUUUACUUUCUAAAGUUAUUAUUAGCUUUCAUUUUCUCAAAUUUAUGUUCAUUUCCAAUCACGAAUAUGGAAAUGAAAAACUUGUGUAGUAAAAAAUUGUGCUAUAUUAGAAAACAAAACUUGCAAAUCAUAGGAUAUAGUUUAUUGAUUUACUUAGGAUAGUUCGUUUUACUUACCUAUAAUUUCGAGAGUCCCAACCAACCAAAUUAGCUGCCUCGGUGAGAGAAUCUUUCCAUUUCUUCAACUUGUCAUUAUUGUGCUUCAAAUCUUGCUUAUGUUUUGCAAAGGCUUGCUUGUAACUCCCGGUCUGCUUCCUCACAUGUGAUGGAUCUAUGUUGUAAAAAACUGGUAUCACAAUCUGUUGCAUAUAUUUCUUGCAUUCAAGAAUCUUUUUGAGCUCAUUCAAGCACCAUUUUGAGGAAGCAUAGUUUUCUGAGAAGAUGACAAUAGAUGCAUGUGACUCCUCAAUGGCUUUGAUGAGUGCUGCCGAGAUCUCAUCUCCUUUUCGAAGCUCAUUGUUGUCUAUAAAUGUUUCAACUUUCUUUCGGCUCAAAGCAUCAUAAAGAUGGCUAGUGAAGUUUCUGCGAGUAUCCUCACCUCGAAAGCUAAGAAAAACGUCAUAUUUUUUCUGAGGCACCACAUCAGAAGAAACUAUAGAGGAAAAGGCACUGCUCAUUUUCGGCACGGCAGUUAUGAAUUCCAAGUGCCUGCACUGAUUAGGCCACUAAUCACAAUGCUACAAUAAAAAAGAAGUAAUGUUUAAUUAGAGAAAGUAGUAGAUAAAUUAAAAUUGAGGGAAAAAAGAUUAUACGUACCAAAGUCAGAAUCCAGCUUCAUGCAAUAGAGGAGAAGAAUACUGUAAAAGUUAUAAUCCAGCUUCCGGAAUUAAUUUUGGAUGAGCACACACAAACUCUUCAUAAUGCUUUGGUUGGUCAUGAUGUAUAUUGUAUAUAGAUGUAAUGUGUGGUUAUCCUUCAAGGAAGUUUCGUUUGCUUAAACAUUGUGUUUGGUAGAGGUGAUUUAUGAGAGAGAAAUAGGUGAGAGAGAGAGAUACAAGAGAAAUGUUGUAUUUCUUCAGUUUGCUAAUAUUAUGUUUUAAAAAAUAAUUUGUUAGUUGUCAUUAACUAUUCUGUUAUCAUUUGAAUAGGAGGAAUAUGACCGACAACUUGCCGAGGCUCUUUCUAAAGGGUUAACUGUUGAUCAUAGUUUGGCCCUCCAAAUUUGGACCAAAGUUGCUGGCGAUAAAACCAAAGGAAAAUUAUAUGGUGCCGGUAACUUGACCGCUAACUACCGGAAGGGUGUUGCAACAACCCUCAGAUUUACCCUUAAUCAUGGCGAAGGAUCCUCCCAGCAGCCUGCACUGACCCCUGAGAUGCAUGACCUUAUUCAAAGAUUGACUCAAGAGCAGCUCACCCAGCAAAUGGCGAGACAUGAGGCCGUUGUACAAGAUUUGCUUAGCCGCCAACGAACAUAUGAGGAGCAACUGGCUCAAUUUCGGCAAGCACAUGAGGAUGGGAAUUCAAGUCAGCAAGCGUCAGUUCCAGAUCCCAAUGUAGAGCCUUUUCCAAUUUAUGGCGAAGGUGGAAGCGAAGGAAGCAAGGAGAUUGAGAGCGAUGAUGAGGAGUGAAGUUGGACCCUUAUGAUGUGUUCAUGCAUGUUAUUUUAUUUUGCUUUUAUUAUCUAUGGUGUGUAAUAUUUGGGAAAGUUUGUUAUGCUUCGUGAUACAAUUGCUACUUAUUUGCUACUUAUGGUCUAUAACAUUAUUCCCUAUGAUUUUAAUUUCAUUACUGUUGGACUUAAUAUUUUGUGGGUGCUAUUACUUUAAUUUUUAUUCUUAACUACUUAUUUUAAAGCAAUUAAAUUAAAAAAACCAUGUGUUUUAAAUUAUUUUAAAUGAUUUUAAAAUAAUGAAAUUAAAAAAAGCAAUUUAAAAUCGUUUUUAAAUUUAUUUUAAUAAUUAAUUUUAAUUAUUUUAAUGAAAUUAACGUUUUUAAAAAACAAUUAAAAACCAUUUUUUAAAAAAAUUAUCUCUGCAAUUUGCCAGGGGUAUACCCCUUGCAAUACUCCUGUCAUAUUUUGGGUCAGACUGCAGCUGAUUGACAGCGCGUAAGUUCUGCAGUGCGUCAGAAAAGCCUGCAGUGCGUCAGGUAAGCAGGUUGUUGAGUCAGACAAUUAGUCAGGGCCCUGCCAGGGGUUUUUCCAGGAGUUAUAAGAGGGGUUUAGACAGGAGUGUGUCCCACGCAGAUUUGCAGCCCUGGCAUAGCAAUUUGCUAUGAGCGCAUUUGCCACUGAUUCAACUCCUCACAAAAGCCCUGGCAAAUGGCUUUUUCCCAGGGAUUCUUGCAAUUUCACAAGGAAUCCACCCCUGGCUAAUUGCAGGAUUUCUUGUAGUGUUCAAUUGUUUUUCUCUGCUAUUCUCCCUUGUUCAUAAUUGUGGUUCAAAGUACCAAAGGGAAUGGAUUAGGUAUGACAAUUUAUCAUUAAAUAUUCCAAUUUAAUAAAUGACACAUGUUGAACAUUAUUUGUUGCAUUACUUAAUAACUCUCGGAUGCCAUGCCUCAAAACACAAAUGAAUCAAAUGAUGGUAGUAUUUGGCAAAUAAUUUAUAAUAAUAUCUAGAACGAAAUUUGUUUCUUUAAUUAAUAAGACCUCCAUUGCUGCAAGUGGCAAAGUACUUGGAUCAAUUCAUUGGUUCAGGUUGUAAGGCAUUUGAUCCUUUUUAGCAAGUGAUCAAAGGUUUGAUCUCUGACUCUUGUAUAUGAAAAAAAGAAUCCAAUUAGAAGUAGAGAACUCAUCUUGUAUAUCUCACGGGUUCUCUGACGCAGAUUAAUCACCGCUAAAAUUCUUGUGUUUCUUAUCAACAUUUUCUCAUAACAAUAAGCAUUUUCCAUCAUGUUAAGUCCUUUUCUAUUUAAAAAUGAUCUGCAAUGCUAGGGAGAAUGAUAGAUGGUAAGAAACAUGGAAGUUCCCAACUUCCAAAAGAUCCUACUGAAAGGCAAUAAAUAAGCCUAUGGGUGCUCAAAUAUUGUUCUGAAUGAAAGCAAGUUGAUUACCAAAUAAACUACCCUCCCCAAGUGGAUAGCAUAGGGGCAAGUUCCCAAAUUCAAAUACAUGAAACUAGGAUUAUGUUAAUGAAUACCGAUGUGAUUACUGCAAAACGAAGAAGAACGACAAGUCAUUUAGUUACAAAGCAGAUGUUUGAAGAAAGAGGAGUUCAAGUACCAAGAAACACAACAGAAAACAACUGCAUAAAUUUAGGAAGUUUUCUGCCAUGGUAAAAGUAACAAGCAACCUAUCAUUGCACAGCUUGAUAUCACCAGUCUACUGCAUCAACACAUACUGUUGAGUGAAUGUAAUGAUGUUGUGCUCAUUUUACUUGGGAAACAGGAGAAAGAGACCAAAAAACAUUUCUGACUUCUAUUAUUCUUUUGAUCGUUUUAACAAGUGCCUCAUCAAAGAACCUGUCCAAUGUUAUUGCAACAAGACGAAUAUUAUUUUCUAGAAUCACAAGAUUUUUGAAACAAUUCUUCAUUUUGAAGAUUUUUCAAUUAAAAAAAAAACUAAUAUGGAAUGUAUAACUAGAGAGUGGGUUUUGAGUUUCAUACCUAUUGAACAAGAAGGUUGUUCUUGGUAUUCUUCAUUAUCAUUGUUAGAGCUUCCGACUUCACCUUCAAUUUUUCUUGGCUGUCAUCAAUAUCAUUUUUCAAAUCAAAAUCAAAUUCACCAGAGUCCUGAGCACUGGAUUUUAAUUUUGAUUUAACUAUUUCCUCACGACUACUACUUAUAACAUACAGCUCCGACUCACUUUUCAAGUCAUAUACAGGUAAGACUCCACACCCCUUUAUCCCCUCUGUUGACCACCACAAUUGUUCCUUUUGACCUUGAAGUAGGAACUGAAAUGAUAGGUUGCAAAAGUCAUGACUUCCAGUUUCUUGUUUGUUGUAACCAUUCCAGCAUAUCAAUACAUGAUCUGAAAUUAAUGUCCCAAGAUAUUUGCAACUAAUACGACAUCUGUCGACUUCUUUGCCAAAGUUGCAUGCAACUUCUACACCUGACAAGAGAGAAAAAUGACGAACACCAUCUUCAUCAGGAGUGUCUUUAGAGAAAGUUCGUACCAUGUUCUCAAGCAAUAACCGUUGAGUGGAGUUCAUAUCCAGAUAAUUGCAGUUAACAGCUGUCAAAUAUAACAGGGAUGCUGGAAGCUCUGCUAGAGACACAAGUUUCCUGCAAUCAUCUAAAUCAAGCCAUUUUAGGAUUGAAUGGUUUUGGAUAUUCUCGGGGAGACUUUCUAAGUUGCAGCACUCAUUCAAUAUUAGCUGUUUUAAAGAUUGUAUGCCAUCAAGGAUGGACCAAAGACUUAAUGCAUUGAUUUCUGUGCACCCUGAAAGGUCUAGCUUUGUAACAGACCACAGUCCAUGAUCAUCUCUUAACUUAUUCCCAACAAUUUUAAGCUUGUUACACUCAGAUAGGCCAAGCCAAGUAAGUUUGCUAUUGCGCCAAAUCGAUGAAGACAAUUCACGUAUAGCAGUGCCGCCUAAGGUCAACUCUGUCAUUUCCUCCGAUGUCACCAAAAAUUCUGUGAGAGUUGAACAACCAUCGAGUAAGAGUUCACGAAGAGAUUUUGAAUGAAUGUUGGUUUUAAGGCUUUCAAUCUUUUUGCAACCUCGUAAAUCUAGAUAUCUAAGAUCAGGGAGACAGAAGAUGGAAGGAUGGAGCUGACACAGGCUUUCACAUUGAAAAACACUCCAUGAAGAUUUGUAUCCUUAGAUAAGUCUGGGAUCUCAAUCAGAUCUUUGGAGGAUUCAAGCCGGAGUAUGUUUAGAUUCACAAGAUUCUGUAACAAUAAAUAAACAUGACAUUGCUUAGAAACCAUUAAAUCCAUAAUUAAGCAUAAAUAGAGACUUCUUAAGAAUGUGCAUCAGACUUCCUCUCAUACCUAAAUAAAUUAACACGUACGUAUAUCCAAACACAUUUGUACCUGAACUCCAUCCCAGAGCUUUUUAAGCUUGCUAUGACCCAUGUGAAGCUCUAUGAGCAUUUCAGCACAAAAGGUUGGUGGCAAAGACUCAAGGCAGUAUCCCUCCCACAUAAGGAACCUCAAUUUAUUAGAAAGCCACUCAAGACCGUCGGGAAAGUGCACAUUGCAUGUUCUCCCAUUAGAUAUAUUAUAGAUUUUAAGAUAUCUUAAGUUUGUCAUCCUUCUAAAGGAAUCAGACUUUAAGUAAAGAUUCCCAACUUCUGUACUAUCAAAUGUUAUACCUUCCACAACUCCCGUUCCCUACCAAACAAAAAUCAGAUUAUUAAUUAGGAAAGGAUGUAAUAAAUGUUUGCUUGUUAUAUUUCAUAACCACAAACAUGUGUUUUCAUAUGGAAGUAAUUGCAUUGUCUACUUACCUUGUUUUUUUUCAAUACAUCAGAUAUUUCUUCAGCAUUCCACAAUCGACUUCGUUUUCCAGGGUUCUUAGAUUCUUGAUUAACAAUCUCUCGUCCCAUUUCUUGUAACAAAUCAUGCAUUUCUAUACCAUCAACGUCCGACUUGACAUAAACAUGCCAUAUUUUUUUUAGUUGUAUGAGAGAUUUAUCUAGAAGGACUUCUAUCCCACUUACUGCAAAGAACUCACAAGCUUCCAAAAGUUUUCUUACGAAAGAUUUACUCUCUUCUCUCAGCAAGCAUGCGUUGUCUAGAAAUAUGGCCUUUUGACAACAAUCUAAGUCAUCAUAACUCAAUUUUAAUACAUUGUAAAUUUUCGUAUUGGGAAUCUUUUGGAGCUUUUUCAAUUCAUUUUCCCAUUCAUCUUUGCCUCUUGAACUCAGAUUAGCACCUAAAACUUUUAAAGCCAGAGGAUUGCCUUUGCAAUAGGCAAUUACACUCUCUGAUAGAUCUUCAUAUCCAAUUUUAGGAUGUUUUUCCUUGAAGACAGUCAAACUGAAUAGCUGAAAAGAAUCAUGAUUAUUCAAUUCCUUAACCUCGUAUAUUUCACAUUUACUGAACUGACUAAUUAUGUGCUUAUCUCUAGUUGUAAUAAUGACCCUACUACCGGGUCCCAGCCCAUCAAUUUUUAGGAUAAAAUCUUCUAUUCUCUCUAAGGUUUCCACGCCAUCCAAUACAAUUAUAACUUUUUUAAGCGCAAUCCUUCUUUCGGAGAAAGGGACUUCUAUGUAGGGUGCAUCAGGAUGAAGAUUUUCUUCCUAUAACAAUGAAGAUAAAAGUUUAUUGUAUACAACAUUGAGUCCAUACUUGUUUGAUUCAUCCAUUACAUUGAGGAAGCAACGACCUUCGAAUUGGGAAUAAAGUUUAGCAUAUAAAGUCUUAGCAAGGGUUGUCUUUCCUAUGCCACCCAUGCCCCAUAUUCCAAGGACUUUAACAUCAUUUGACCCAAUUUUCAGCAUUGAUUCAAUUUGUUUAUAAUUUUUCUCAAUUCCAACAAGACCCUUAAUUUCAUAUGGGUAUCUAAGAUUUAGUUUCCUUAAAACAUCUUCAACAAUGUCCUUAAUGAAGUCCACUUCAAUCCUUGCACAUGAAGGAAGGAAAGGUCUUACAAGUCUAACAAAUACAAUAGAAGAAAAAUACAUCUAUAUGAUUAGUAUACAAAUUUGUAGUCAACAUGGUGGCAUUAACAUCUAUUUUUUCUACGAAGUGAAAUCCUAAAGAAAUUCCAAAAAAUCAAAAAUCAAAAAAAGGUUUUUAUGCUACCCAAACGAUAAGAUGAUGUAUUCUUUGUAUUUAGAUUUAAGAGUAUCAAUUGAGUGAUAAGUGUAUGCAGGGUACAAGAAUAUGUUGACUUUGAAGACUCCUACCCUCUUCCCAAUAGUAAAUAACUGUGCUAUAUUAGAAUACAAAACAUGCAAAUGAUAGGAAAUAGUUUAUUGAUUUUACUUUGAAUUUUGGAAACAUACAAGUGAUGAACAUAUCCAAAGCUGGAUAGUUUGUUUUAUUUACCUAUAAUUUUGAGAGUCCCAUCCAACUAAAUUAGCUGCCUCAGUGAGAGAGGCUUUCCAUUUCUCCAACUUGGCAUUAUUGUGCUUCAAAUCUUGCUUAUGUUUUGCAAAGGCUUGCUUGUAACUCCCGGUUUGCUUCCUCACAUGUGAUGGAUCAAUGUUGUAAAAAAUAGGUAUCACGAUCUGUUCCAUAUAUUGCUUGCAUUCUAGAAUCUUUUUGAGAUCAUUCAAACACCAUUUUGAGGAAGCGUAGUUUUCUGAGAAGAUGACAAUAGACACAUGUGACUCCUCAAUGGUUUUGAUGAGUGUUGGUGAGAUCUCAUCUCCUUUUUGAAGGUCAUUGUUGUCUAUGAAGGUUUCAACUUUCUUUCGACUCAAAGCAUCAUAAAGAUGGCUUGUGAAGUUUCUGCGAGUAUCCUCACCUCGAAAGCUAAGAAAAACGUCAUAUUUUUUCGGAGGCCCCACAUAAGAAGAAGAUAUAGAGGAAAAAGCACUGCUCAUUUUCUGCGCGGCGGUUAUGAUUUCCAAAUGCCUGCACUAAGCCACUAAUCACAAUGCUACAAUAAAAAAAAGUAUUGGGCUUCAUAAAUUUGAUUAUCAUUUGGAAUCAUUUUUGGCAGCAUAACAAAAAGAAUGGCAACAUUCAAAGCGAGCCUAACAAAAAUAAGGCAAAUUCUAUAUUACACCCAAUAUAUUUGAGUGUAUCGGUACAUCCACUCUUUAAAUUAAUAGUUAAAUGAGUUUUUUUUUGAAGAAAAAUAUUAUUUUUUAUCAUUUAUUAUUAUAAUAACUAAAUCUUAUUCAUAAAAAAUAUCAACAAAAUAAAAUUAUUAUUUUUUGAAUUUUUAUUGCUCAUAAUUUAUAACAUUUAUUAUUUUUUACGAUAAUAUGUAAAAAAAAAUACUAUGAUUGUCAUAAACAAUGAAAUGAUUUUUUUUUUUUUUAUGAACUGAUGUUAUAUAAAAUAUAACUAUUGACAAAGAGCUAUUUAUUACAUAAAAAAUUAUCGUUAAUUUAUAAAAUUAUGAAGAAGGAGUACCGGUACACCUCACUUUGUGAGUGUACCGUAGAAGUUUCCCAACAAAAUAAUUACAAUAAUAUAGAUGAAUGUCUUGAGACAAUUUAUUUUUGGCGAUUACUUUCUCCACCCUAUAAGGUUCUCACACGUCCUUUUUUUUUUCUUUCCAAAUUGCCCCUUAGAUUUUAGAAAAUGAAAACCAAUUCCAAAUAUAAAUUCCGAAACAUUUCGCUUUAUAAAAGCAAGAUCAGCAACUUCCACCAUUUUACAGUUUUAGUUUUACAAUUUCACUUUCUCUCUCUCUCUCUCACCGAUCCCAUAAUCCUAAAAUAUUGGUCCAAUCUUUGAGUUUUUUUUGCUCAAAAUCAUCACAUUUGAAGCUUUAUCAAACCCCAUAGUGAAGGUUAGGUCUCAUUCCAUCUGCAUACAAGCCUUUGAGUUCGAAUAUUUUUUUUGUGGCAACUGAAUAUGUUUGGAUUAUAAAAUCCAAACUGGAUUGUUGAAGUUCAGAUUUUAUAAUCUGAAGUGUACCUGUAGGCAGAUUUUUGGACAAUUUUGUGGAUUUAUAUUGAUUGCGUUUUACCUGGUUAUGCAUGUUACAAGCAUGGAUCGUGUUGGGCGCACCGUGGGUGAUGGAGAAGCAAUGCAUGUUUAUGUUUGGAGAGAGCGUUUGGAGAGGUUGCAAGCGGAGGGGAGAGUGCCCAGGCGUGGCAAGGGCAGGGAAAGGGCACGCCGUGGUGAUGCUGAUGGCGAGGGAACAUCUCAGGGGAACUAUAUUGAGCUUGAGCCACAGAGGGAGAUAAGAGAAGGUGGAGGGUGAUGUUGAGCAACAGGAGGAGGGUGAUGAAGAGCAGCAUGAGCGUGUGCAGCCAAAGCCAAAGGAGCUUGAUCACUAUCUUGGUGGCCCACACGACUUGACUGUGCUGACCAAGUACCAUGUUCACGUGGUCAGGAUGGCAGUUGAUGAAGUGGUAAGACACUGCACCUUUAAUUUAAUGAAAAUUGAAUUUUUAUGUUUAAUUAAUAAUAAUUGUAAACUUUUUGUUAAUUUUUGUCAUGUAUUAUUUCGAUUACUGUGAAACUGAUGUUAAUUUUUUGUUUUAAAUUUUAGCAGUGCGGUGACAAUUUAAAAUGUGUAAACAACAGGAAGAAGAUAGAAGCGAUACAUAAACCAAAGGUUUAAAUGUAUUUCAUCCUUGCAAUUAAGGGUCGUUUAAAAAUUGGUCCCUGUAUUCGCUAAUCCUUGCAAACUAGCCUUGCAAUAAUUAAUCAUUUAAAAUUUCGUCCUUUGACCAACUUAAUCACUGCCACGUCACUAAUUUGAUGACGUGGCAAUCACUAUCACACAUGAAAUUCCAAUUUUUCUCUUAAGAAGAGGACAAAAUAUUGAAGAAAGAAUUAGAAACUCAGGGGUAAAAUUGGAAUUUCAUGUGUGACAGUGAUUGGCACGUCAUCAAAUUAGUGAUGUGGCAGUGAUUAAGUGGGGAGAGGGACGAAAUUUUAAAUGAUUAAACAAUGCAAGGGUAAAUUGCAAGGAUUAGCGAUUACAGAGACCAAUUUUUAAACGACCCAUAAUUGCAAGGAUGAAAUACAUAUUUAAGCCUAAACCAAACAAGACUCUGAUGGCAAGACUGUGUGGUUUAAGCAUGGGCUGAAAGUCACUGGUCUUCGGUGGCUGCAGGAUAUCAGCUACAGCCAGAUUGAACACGGGCUUUGUUCUGCAAUUGUGGAGAGAUGGCACGAGGAGACAUCGAACUUUCAUCUUCCGUUUGGGGAUAUGAUAGUGGCACUGGAUGAUGUGUCAUGUUUGCUGCAUCUCGCCAUCGAGGGUAUGCUCUUGUCCUAUGAAAGUAUGUCAAGGGGUGAUGUUGUUGAGUUGUUGAUGGAAUUGUUGAGGGUUGAUGCGGGCGAGACAUGGACCGAGGUGGAAAAGAAAAAAGGUGGACAUGCACGGUUUAACUUCUUGAAGGAUAUAUACUUUCAAGGAGCAUGUUCGGGAGGCACAUGAGGUCUACCAUGCUGGUCAGUUUGUUGAGAUGCAGCAGCGGGAGUAUUUUCCAACAGAAGGUAUGGCCUAAACUAAUUUUAUCAAUUUAUUUAUUUCAAAUUCUAUGAUCAAUUUGAAAAUGACCUAUGUAAUUAGAGAAACUAGCAGUUAAAUUAAAAUUGAGGGAAAAAAGAUCAUACCAAAGUCAGAUCAAUCCAGCUUCAUGCAAUAGAGGAGAAAAAGACAGUAUGGCUUAGCUUCUGGUGGAAUCAAAUUUGGAUGAAAAUUAAUUAAGGAUAAACACACACAAACACUUCAUAAUGCCUUGGUCCUGAUGUAUAUACAUGUAAUGGGUCAAAUUUAAAAUAUAAAAUAACAAGUGUGGCUUAGCUUGCUUCCUUUUUGAUGGAGACUACUAGAUAAACUAUGGAAUUGGAUUUCAGAUUAAAAUAUAUGCAAAAUUAAGCUUGUUGUCCUUCAAUUUUGAGUCAUUUUUCAGAUUAUACCUAUUCACGUAUGUAAACACAAGUUAAUUACAAUAGGUGAGUUGCUGAGUGAAAUGUCUUAGGUGCAAUUCCAAGAACAAUUAGAUUAUACCUAUUAAGCUUGUUGUCCUUUAAUUUUGACUAUUUUUCAGAUUAUACCUUUUAGUUUUUCUUUCUUCCUUGAAUAGUUUCUUCAAAUAUUUAUAAUUACCAACAGAAGGUAGAGCCUUGGACUUAUACAAUAUAUAAGUGGCUUAGAUGUAUUCUUGUCUUUCGUUGGUCUAUGAAAUCGUAAAAACAAACACUUUCGUAUAUUUAAUUAAAUUUAAAGGUAAAGUAAAACAUUAAAUUAAUUUUAAAAUCCCUCCCCUCGUGAACCACAUCAAUUAAUGUUUUUAUUUUUUGUGGAAUUUCUAAAUGUUUUAAUUGAUUAGUUUUUUUUUUAAAGAAUGUUUUGAUUGAUUAGUUGUGUAUGUACAAAGCUGUUUUAGACCGUCGACUCGUUAAUCUUAAACCCUUAACAAAAACUGAUUUAGACCGUCGACUCGCUAAUCAAACCAAGUAAUUAAAUUAAAAAAUUACUUUCUGUUGGAGAAAAGAUACUAUUUGGAAUAUGCAUUGGAAAUAAUGAGUAGCAGAGAGAUUACAAACACUAUAUUAUUUUGUGGGAAAACCAAGAUCUUUGAUCUGUAUCAUUUAAAAAGGAAAGACCAUUAACAGAACCAUUAUUAUUCUUCUUAUCUUUAUUUCUUAUGACUCAAAAUCAUGAAACUCAAGUAGCUACUGCAAUAGGGAGAAAAAGAGGAAGAAGACCGACAAUUCAUUUAAUGACGAAGCAGAAGAUGUUAGAAGAAAGCAGCAUUGCUAUCUUCAAUGAUCAAGAACAUUGACACUGUGAUGUGAUCCUAAAAUUCUCUCUCUUGACAAGAAUAAUAAAGUCAUUGUAGAAUAAAAGAACCAAAUUAAUUUUGGGUUCAAAGUUUUAUUUUCGUAGGUCAUUAUAUGUCUGUCUUGUUUUGGCUAUAUCUGGAGCUCUGGAUAUCCGUUUGAGGUGAUCUUUAACUCGUUGGAAAGCUUACGAAAUUCUCUACAUUUCAUCUGUUUGAUUCAAGAGCAAAUUCGGAAUAUUUAAUGGUGCAGAAUGAGCUGUAGGUAGAAGACGUGGUUAAAGUAUGUUAGCUGAAGAAUUAAAGGUGGUGUUUGUGGAAUUGUAACGUCUAGCCAUAAUAAGCCUUCACAAAUCAAUGUGCAAAUGAAUAUGUAACCUUCUCAUGCAUUGAUCAACCACCAACUUUAAAGAUCCAAUUAAAUUGUAACCUCUUUUGUAAUAACUAGCCACCUAGGAAUUAUAACACUAAUUAUGCUAUGAUUGUAAGUUUUUCAGCUUCCAAGCCUAUUUCCUAUAAAAAGGGGGCGAAAAUAAUGAAGGGGACAAGUUGAAUUUAAAAAAAAUAAAAAAUAAAUAGAGAAUUUUAGGAUCACAUCACACUGCUAAGGAAAAUGAAUGGGGAUCUUUACACAAAAUUAUGAAACGCUGCAAACCUGGUUAUAGCUGACUACUUAUACCAACAAUAAAAACAGGAUCAGAUUGAUUAAUACCAGCAAUCACAGCACAGAACUGCUGAAUAAAAUUAGGAAUACUUCUGCAAAGGUAUAAAUUAUAAAGUUUAAAUAUGCCUUUAGUCCUUGCACUUUUAUCAGAUUUUGGCAUUGGUCCCUACACUUUUUUUUGUUUGGAAUUGGUCCCUGCACUUUGUAAAAAUAUUGGUAUUGGUCCCUGCACUUUGUAAAAAUAUUGAUAUUGGUGCCACGUGGCGUGAAAUGAUUGGGCCACGUGGCACUCCGUUGAUUUUGUGUUUUUUUUUUUAACAGAAAGUUAACAGGGGGUCAAUACCAAUAUUUUUACUAAGUGCAGGGACCAAUGCCAAAAUCUGAUGAAAGUGUAGGGACCAAUGACACAUUUAAACCAAAUUAUAAUUAGCACAACGUAUCAUUGCACUUAGGCAUUUAAAUGAUGAAUUUAAUACCAGUCUACUGCAUCACCGAAUCUUUCUGAAUGAAUGCGAUGAUGUUGUGCUUAUUGUAUUUGAGAAACAGGAGAAAGAGAUUACAAUAUUUCCGACUUGUAUUAUUCUUUUGACCCUCUUAGCAAGUGCCUCAAAAAAAGACCUGCCCAAUAUGUUGUUUCAGCAUAAAGUUAUUGCAAUACACCGAGCAUUAUUCACUUGAAGGAUUAAAAUUUUCUAUUAAAUAAAAAAUAUUGAAUCUAUAAUUAUAAAGUCGGUUAAAACUUCAUACCGAUUGAACAAGAAGGUUGUUCCUCUUUGCAUGAAUAGGAAGGUUGUUCCUGGUUAUCUUCAUUUUCAUUGUUAGAGCUUCUGACUUCACCUCCAAUUGCUAUAGACACAUCAGAGUCUUGAGCAAUGGAUUUUAAUUUACCAAUUUCCUUACUAAUGAUACUGCUACCACCACCUUCCAACUCACGUUCUAAGGCAUAUACAGGUAUGACCCCACACCCUUUUAUCCCCUCUGUUGACCACCACAAUUCUUCAUUGGGACCUUGAAGUAUGAAUUUAAAUGAUAAGUUACAAUCAUAACUUCCACUUUCUUGUAUGUUGUAACCAUGCCAACGCAUCAAUACAUGAUCUGAAAUUAAUGUCCCGAGAUAAUUGAAUCUAAUGCGACGUCUGUCGACUUCUUUUCCGCAUUCAAAGAUAAUACAAUGAAGGACAUGGUGGUUAACAGUGAAGCCCUCAGAAAAAAGGAUGCAAAAUAUGAAACCACACAAGUCAGAUUUAGCAAUAGGAAGAAUAGUUAUUGAAGCCUUGAUUGUCUGAAAAUCAAAAUUUAAUGGAAUUUGUGCUCCUGGCAUGAAAGAGAAAGGACGGAUAACACCUUCAUGUUCAAUAGAAGGGUCUUCACAGAACUUUUGUGCCUUGUUCUUAAUCAAUGAAAAUUGUGUGAAGUAUGUGUCCAGAUAUGUGCAAUUAACGGCUGUUAAAUAAAACAGGGAUGGCGGAAUCUCUGUUAGAGACACAAGUUUCCUGCAAUUGUCUAAUUCAAGCCAUUCUAGCAUUGAAUGGUUUUGUAUGUUCUUAGGGAGACAUUCUAAGUUGCAACACUCAUUCAAUUUUAGCCGUUUUAAAGAUUGUAUGCCAUCAAGGAUGGACGACAGACUUAUUGCAUUGAUUUCUGUGCACCCAGAAAGGUCUAGCUCUGUAACAGACCCCAGUCCAUGAUCAUCUGUUAACUUAUUCCCAACAAUAGUAAGCUUGUUACAUCCAGCUAGGUCAAGAACAGUAAGUUUGGUAUUAUGCCAAAUCGAUGAAGUCAAUUCAUGUAUAGAAGUGUCACGUAAGGAUAAUUUUGUCAUUUCCUCCGAUGUCACUGAAAAUUCUGUGAGAGAUGAACAACCAUUGAGUAAGAGUUGACGAAGAGAUUUUGAAUGAAUGUUUGUUUUAAGGCUUUCAAUACUUAUGCAACCUCUUAAGUCUAGAUAUUGAAGUUGAGGGAGAGAAAAGAUGGAUGGAUGGAGUUGACGCAAGCUUUCACAUUCCGAGAGAAGUACAACAACAAGAUUUGUAGCCCUAGAUAAGUCUGGGAUCUCAAUCAGAUCUUUGGAGGAUCGAAGCCAAAGUGUUCUUAGAUUCACAAGAUUCUGUAACAAGAAAUAAACAUCCAUGAGUGUUGAUUAAAAGAGAAACAAAACCUAGUUAAACAUAAAGAGAAACAUCCUAGCUCUGCUGCAAUUUAGUGAAAAACAUUUGUACCUGAACUCCAUCCCAGAGCUUUUUAAGCUUGCUAUGACUCAUGCAAAGAUAUACAAGCAUUUCAGCACAAAAGGUUGAUGGCAAAGACUCAAGACAGUAUCUUACCCAUAGAAGAUACCUCAAUUUAUCAGAAAUCCACUCAAGACCGUCAGGAAAGUACACAUUGCCUGUGCUCCCAUCAGAAUCAUUACAGAUAUGAAGAUAUCUUAAAUUUGUCAUCCUUCUAAAGGAAUCAGACUUCAAGUAAAUAUCCCCAACAUUUGUACUAUGGAACCUUAUACCUUCCACAACUUCAGUUCCCUGACAAAUAAAAAUUAGAUUAAUAAUUAGGAAAGGCUGUCAUGUGUACUUUCCUCGUUAUAUUUUAUAAUCACAUACAUGUUUUUUCGUAUAGAAAUGAUUGCAUUCUCUAGUUACCUUGUUUUCUUUUAAUAUAUCAGAUAUUUCUUCAGCUCUCCAUAACCGACUUCGUUUUCCAGGAUCUUUAGACUCUUGAUUAACAAUCUCCCGUCCCAUUUCUUGUAACAAAUCAUGCAUAUCUAAACCAUCAGUUUCCAAUUUGGCCAACGAGUGCCAAUUUGAUUUUAUUUGUAUGAAAGCUUUAUCUAGAAGGACUUCUAUCCCACUUUCUGCAAAGAACUCACAAGCUUCCAAGAAAUGUAUCACAAACAUUUUAUUCUCUCCUCUCAACAAGCAUGCGAUAUCUAGAAAUAUGUCCUUUUGAAAAAUAUCUAAGUUAUCAUAACUCAAUUUUAACAUAUUGUUAAUUUCCCCAUUUGGAAUCCUUUCGAGCUUUUUCAAUUCAUCUUCCCAUACUUUUUUGCCUCUUGAACGGAGAUUUUUACCUAAAACUUUUAAAGCCAAAGGGUUGCCUCUGCAAUAGGCAAUUACACUUUCCGAUAGAUCUUCAUAUCCAAUUUUAGGCUGUUUUUCUCCGAAGGCAAACAAACUGAAUAGUUGAAGAGAAUCAUGUUUGUUCAAUUCAUUAAACUCAUAUAUUUCACAAUUACUCAACUGACUUAGUAUGUGCUUAUCUCUAGUUGUAAUAAUGACCCUACUACCCAAUCCCAACCCAUAAAUUAUUAGGAUAAGAUCAUCUAAUUAAUCUAAGGUAUCCAAACCAUCCAACACAAUAAAAACUUUUUUAAGUGCAAUCCUUCUCACGGAGAAAGAGGAUUCUAUGUAGGAUGCAUCGGGAUGAAUUUUUUCUUCCUCUAACAAUGAAGACAAAAGUUUAUUGUGUAGACCAUUGACUCCAUACUUGUUUGAUUCAUCCAUUACAUAGUGGAAGCAAAGAACUUCAAAUUGGGAAUAAAGUUUACCAAAUAAAGUCCUAGCAAUGGUGGUCUUUCCUAUGCCACCCAUGCCCCAUAUUCCAAUGAUUAUAACAUCAUUUGACCCAAUUUCCAUCAUUGAUUCAAUUUGUUCGUAAUUUUUCUCAAUUCCAACAAGCCCAUUAAUAUCAUAUGGGUAUCUAGGAUUCAGUUUCCGCAAAACAUCUUCAACAAUGGCUUUAAUGAAGUCUGAGUCACUCCUAACAUAUGAAAGAGGGGAAGAAGGUUUAACAUGUCUACUAAAUACAAUAAAUAAACAUCUAUAUGAUUAGAAAUAUAUACAAAAUUUAUAGUCAACAUGAUGGUAGUGGCGUAGUAGAGCAAAAAAAGAAGCAAAAAUGAGAUUCGAGGAAAUGAAAUACCAAACACACAGUGCAAUUAAAGUCUAUUUUUUCUAGGAAGUGAAAUCCUAAAGAAAAUUAUAAAAAAAUAAAAGUUUUAUGAUACUCGAAGCAUGUGUUGCUACUAUUAAGAUUUUAGUGAUACAAAUAGAAUCAGCCAAAUCGAAGUAAAAAAAAUUGUGAGAUAGUGUAUGAUGACUUUGAUAGUUUUGAGAAGGUCAUCAACUAUGGCCAGGCACAUCAAUGUCAUUGUUCACUUCUCGAAAUAAUUUGGCCUGGUUUACUUUCUAAAAUUAUAUUUCGUCUUCAAUUUCUAAAAUUUAUGUUCAUUUCCAACUACAAAUAUGGAGAUGAAAGACUUAUGAAGUAAACAAUUGUGCUAUAUUAGAAACAAAACAUUCAAAUGAUAGGAAAUAGUUUAUUGAUUUUACUUACCUAUAAUUUCGAGAGUCCCAACCAACUAAAUUAGCUGCAUCAGUGAGAGCAGCUUUCCAUUUCUCCAACUUAUCGUUAUUGUGCUUCAAAUUUCGCUUAUGUUUUGCAAAGGCUUGCUUGUAACUCCCGGUCUGCUUCCUCACAUGUGAUGGAUCUAUGUUGUAAAAAACUGGUAUCACAAUCUGUUCCAUAUAUUUCUUGCAUUCAAGAAUCUUUUUGAGCUCAUUCAAGCACCAUUUUGAGGAAGCAUAGUUUUCUGAGAAGAUGACAAUAGAUGCAUGUGACUCCUCAAUGGCUUUGAUGAGUGCUGCCGAGAUCUCAUCUCCUUUUUGAAGCUCAUUGUUGUCUAUAAAGGUUUCAACUUUCUUUCGGCUCAGAGCGUCGUAAAGAUGGCUAGUGAAGUUUCUGCGAGUAUCCUCACCUCGAAAGCUAAGAAAAACCUCAUAUUUUUUCUUAGGGACCACAUCAGAAGAAGAUACAGAGGAAAAAGCACUGCUCAUUUUCUCCUCGUGACGGUUAUGAAUUCCCAGGGCCUGUACUAAGCCACUAAUCACAAUGCUACAAUAAAAAAAAAAAGUAAUGUUUAUUGUGUUCUUGAUACUUUUGACCACACUCAUUCUCGUUGUAAUUAGAGAAACUAGUUGUUAAAUUAAAAUUAAGAAGAAAAAAGAUCAUACCAAAGUCAGAAUCAAGCUUCAUGCAAGAAGACUUUAAAGUCAUAAAUCCCAACAGUAGUAUGGCUUAGCUUCUGCUGGAAUCAAUUUUAGAUGAAAAUUAAUUAAGGAUAAACACACACAAACACUUCAUAUAGAUGUAAUGAUUCAAAAUUAAAAUAUAAAAUAGUAAGUGUGGUUUCGUGGUUAUCCUUCAAGGAAGUUUCGUGGUUUUAUUUUCAGUUUUUCUUUCUUCCUUUGAAUAGUUUCUUUAAAUAUUCAAAUGUGUACGUCGUGGUGUUCUUCAGAAGGUAUGGCCAUCACAUUAUUCUUUAUAACAACCAUAUAAAAAAAAAAAUGACAUUAUGAAUUUGUCAUCAUGUGUGGUCAGAUCAGAUGCAUAAUGUGUAAGACGCCGGCUGAAUAAAAUAUGGCAACAAGAGAAUAUUUAGACAAACAAUGAUGCACAUAAUAUAGUGUGAAUCUAAUUUCCUAUAUUAAACUAAAUAGUUGUUACAUAAGGUUCCAUUUCUUUCUAUUUGUUUUUUUACCAAUCAAAUUAAGUAACCUUUAAACAAAUAUCAUAUAUAGUUGAACCGUUGAAUCUUGAACCUUAUUCACAUGUUCAAUGGCUGGUCCAAUCAUUUGUUUAAUGGUUGGUCCAAUUUAGAAAAUAUUAAUGAAGACGGCCUGCUUUGAUAAAUUAUUUAUUUAAAAACUUAUUUAUAUCCUUUUUUACUAACAAGGAAUUGAGACGUAACCAAAAAAAAAACAAGGAAUUGAGAUGGCCCUCUUCCGAUCUCAUCCCAACCCCACCAAUGGCCAACUUUAAAGCUAUGUUUGGAUUGGUAGAGAGUGGUGGAAUGGAAUUGAAUGAAGUGGGAUAGAUUCACAUUCUAUUGUUUGGUUUUGUAAAAAAAGGAAUAGAAUGGAAUGUAGUGUAAUGGAACUCAUUGCAUCCAAUACCACCUAUUUAACCAAUUUUCCAGUUCCUCCCAAUUUGGGGUGUAUGCAAUGAAAAAACAACAAUCUUCCUAGUAAAUACUAUAAAACAACAAUCAUCACCAAUGGUGGAAAUUAAUCAACAAAAAUUGAAAAAGACUUCCAUAAAAAUGAGUGCCUCAAAAGUAACCUUCAAAAGAUUCAAUUGAUAAGCAAUAAUCCAGCUUAACAUUGAGCUUCUCAUACGUAGCAUUCCAAUUUAUUAUGUCUGAAUUACAAGCAAUCAGAAGUUGAGGACAAGCCUAUAGAAGCUCAAAUUUUUCUGAAUAAAACCAUACCCUACACCGAAUUAGGGCUCUAUGAAGCCUCUAAUACUCGAAACAAUCGAAGAAGCAUUGGGGCUCUAAGACUAAGAAGGAGAAGAUGAAAAGAAACUAGCUACAAAAUUAAAACAUAUGUUUUCAUUGAUUAAUUACAUUCCUAAAGAUACAACACACUUAUCCCCUCUGUUGAACACCACAAUUGUUCCUUGUGACCUUGAAGUAGAAAUUGAAAUGAUAAGUUGCAAAAAUCAUAAAUUUCACUAUCUUGUCUGUUGUGAACAUGCCAGCAUACCAGUACAUAAUCAGAAAUGAAUGUCCCAAGAUAACUGUCACUAAUACAACGUAUGUCGGCUUCUUUUCCGUUUUCAAAGAUAAUACAGUGAACGGCAUCAGGGGCGGUUCUAAGGCCCGGCGACCCCCGGCUCCGGGCCAAAUUUUUUGUGUAAAUCCCUAUGAAUUUCUUAUAUAAACCCCUAUAAAUUGGGCAAUUUCUUUACAUUUUUUAUUAUUUGCUUGCAAUUUCUUAUGUACGCCCUAUAAAUGUGUUGCAAAAAAAUUUUCCGCCCAGGCUUUACAAUAUUCCUGGCUCCGCCACUGAACGGCAUGGUGGUAAACAUUAAAGCCCUCAGAAAGAAUGAUGGAAAAUAUAAAACUGCACAAAUCAGAUUUUGGAAUAGGAGGAAUAAUUAUUGAAGCCUCUAUUGUCUGAAAAUCAAACAUGCAUGCAAUGGAGUCUUCAGAGAAGGUUUGUAACAUGUUAUUAAAAAAUGACGGUUGAAUGGAGUAUGUGUCCAGAUAACUGCAAUUAACGGCAGGGAUGGUGGAAGCUCUGUUAGAGACACAAUUUUCCUGCAAUCAUCUAAAUCAAGCCAUUCCCAACAUUGAAUGGUUUUGGAUAUUGUCGGGGAGAACAUCUAAGUUGCAACACUCUUUCAAUUUUAGCCGUUUUAAAGACUAUAUACCAUCGAGGAUGGACCACAGACUUAAUGCAUCGAUUUCUGUGCACCCUGAAAGGUCUAGUUCGGUAACAAACCCAAGCCCAUGAUCAUCUGAUAACUUCUUCCCAACAGUGUUGAGCUUGUUACACUCAGUUAGACCAAGAGAAGUAAGUUUGCAAUUACGCCAAAUCGAUAAAGAUAAUUCACGUAUAGCAGUGCCAUGUAAGGAUAACUCUGUCAUUUCCUCUGAUGUCACCGAAAAUUCCAUGAGGGAUGAACAACCAUCAACUAAGAGAGAUUUUGAAUGAAAAUUGGUUUUUAGGCUAUGACUCAUGCAAAUCUCUACAAGCAUUUCAGCACAAAAGGUUGAUGGCAAAGAUUCAAGACAGUAUCCAUCCCAUCGAAGGUACCUCAAUUUAUCAGAAAUCCACUCAAGACCAUCGGGAAAGUACACAUUGCAUGUGCUCCCAUCAGAUAUAUUAUAGAUUUUAAGAUAUCUUAUAUUUUUCAUCCUUCUAAAGGAAUCAGACUUCAAUAAAGAUCCCCAACAUCUGUACAAUGGAACGUUAUACCUUCCACAGCUUCAGUUCCCUAAUAAAAACAUUUUUUUUUAAUAAUUAGGAAUGGUUCCCUGAUGAACUUUCCUUGUUAUAUUUCCCUGACGCAUUUUUGUUAUAAUUAGGAAUUGCAAACUCUAUUACCUUGUUGUUUUUCAAUAAUUCAGAUAUUUCUUCAGCCCUCCACAAUCUACUUCUUUUCCCAGGGUCUUUAGAUUCUUGAUUAACAAUCUCCCGACCCAUUUCUUGUAACAAAACAUGCAUUUCUAUUGUAUCAACAUCCAGAUUUACAUGCCAAAUAAGUUUUAGUUCUAUGAGAGCUUUAUCUAGAAGGACUUCUAUCCCAAUUGUUGCAAAGAAUCGACAAGCUUCCAAUACAUGUUUUACAAAAUCUUUAUGCUCUUCUCUCAACAAGCAUGCGAUAUCUAGAAAUAUGGCCUUUUGACAACAAUCUAAGUCAUCAUAACUCAAUUUUAACACAUUAAAAAUUUUCCUAUUGGGAAUCUUUUGGAGCAUUUUCAAUUCAUUGUCCCAUGCUUCCUUGCUUCUUGAACUCGGAUUUGCACCUAAAACUUUUAUAGCCAGAGGAUUGCCUUUGCAAUAGGCAAUUACACUCUCUGAUAGAUCUUCAUAUCCAAUUUUAGGAUGUUUUUCUCCGAAGAUAGUCAAACUCAAUAGUUGAAGAGAAUCAUGUUUGUUCAAUUCCUUAACCUCACAUAUUUGCACAUUUUGUGAAUUGACUAAAUAUGUGUUUAUAUCUAGUUGUAAUAAUGACCCCACUACCCGGUGCCAGUCCAUCAAUUUUUAGCAUAAGAUCUUCUAUUUGCUCUACAGUUUCUCUACACUAUCCAGCACAAUGUAAAAUUCUUUACGUGCAAUCCUUCUCACAGAGAAAGGGGUUUCUACGUGCAAUAAUUCUCACUCUGUUUUUUUAUUUUUUUAUUUUUUUUUCUUCUUUCUAAUCCUUUGAAUAUCUCCAGGUUCUUACUUUAUUGAAGGAAAUGUAACAUGAAGAAAAUAUAAGGAAAUGUAACAUGAAGCAAAAUUUGAGGAAAGAAAAGUUAGGCCUCAUCCUCAAGUAGUAGGAAUGUAGUCCAAUUUUGAUGGCAAAUUACACCCUAUUUCCAUUAACUUUUCAUCGGUAAGAACCAUGUCAUGGACGAGUCUUCAGAUAAGCAGAGACUUUGAGGGAGGAAUAUCUUUGCUCCAAAGUAGGAGCAAUGUGUUUUUUAAAAGAAUAAGUAUCUUUUAAAAGCUAAAUUUCCAUCAGAGGUUCUUUUCCAAAUCAAAGAAUCUUCACAGUCUUCAUCAGGAAUAGUUGCAGCACAAGCAAGCUAAUAGUAGGGAACAUCAACAGGACAUCACGAAGAAUGUUCCAGUGAAAAUUGGUGAAAUAGUAUUAGUCAGACACUUUUGAAGGGAAAGUGUUGAUAAAUAUAUUUUUCCUUAUAAAUAUAAAAAUAAAUAUUUGUCACCGAUACAAUAAAAAAAAUACACAAGACAAAUAUUCAUAAAAAAUUGGAUUAUUAUUUUUCAUUGAUAAACAAUCUAUGACACAAGAUAUAAACGGAGAAAUAAUUGUCACUAUUAAGCAGUAGUAAUUGACACAAGAUAUAAAUACUUUCAUGUACUUGAAGCUGCUCAUUCUAACCAAGGAAUUUCACUACUUCAACACCAAUGUUGCUCAGAUUUGUUUGCAAACUCAUGCUUACUUUGCUCAGAACCCUUCUCAACAUCCUCUGACCCCUCCAUGAAGUUACAGAAGCAUCAUAGCUCGAUAUCAAACAGUCUAAUGCAUAAACAGAUAUUGCGAUGAAGUAUUGUGCGAGAAACAAUGAGACAGAAAACGUUUCUGACUAUUAUAAUUCUUUGGACCCUCGAUAAAAUACAGCCGGUCAUUAUUUUCUAGAAUCAUGAGAAUUUUAAAACAAUUCUUCAAUUGAAGGAUUUAAAUCUUUUAAUAAAAUAAGCUAAGGUGGAAGGUAUGAUUGAAAAAGUGGAAAUUAUAUAGUGCUACAAUCAAAAUAAUUAACGGCUACUAACUAGCAUAACCUCUAGGAAUUAGAAAGCUUCUGCCUUGUUUAAAGAUACAAACAUACAAUUACACAGACUUGGGUCUAAUUACUUGGCGCCUGCGUCUAACAGAAGGUUGUUCCUCUACUUUGUAAGAAUAAGAAGGUUGUUCCUGAUCAUCUUCAUUUUCAUUGUUAUAGCUUCUGCCUUCACCUCCAAUUGCUAUAGACACAUAAGAGUCUUGAGCAAUGGAUUUUAACUUACCAAUUUCCUUACUAAUGCUACUACCCCAAUAUUCCCAUACAGGUAAGACCCCACACCCCUUUAUCCCCUCCUUUGACCACCGUAAUUCUUCAUUGGGACCUUGAAGUAUGAAUUGAAAUGAUAAGUUGCAAAUAUCAUAACUUCCAUUUUCUUGUCUGUUGUAACCAUGCCAACAUAUCAAUGCAUGAUCUGAAAUUAAUGUCCCAAAAUAAUUGUGACUAAUGCGACGUCUGUUGACUUCUUUUCCGCGUUCAAAAAUAAUACAAUGAAGGGCAUGGUGGUUAAUAGUGAAGCCCUCAGAAAAAAGGAUGCGAAAUAUGAAACCACAUAAGACAGAUUUUUUAAUAGGAAGAAUAGUUAUUGAAGCCUCGAUUGUCUGAAAAUCAAAAAUUAUUGGAUCUUGUGCUCCUGGCAGGAAAGAGAAAGCAUUUAUCACACCUUCUUCAAUAGAAGGGUCUUCAAAGAUCUUUCGUACCAUGUUUUCAAGCAAUGACCAUUGUGUGGAAUCUGUGUCCAGAUAAGUGCAAUUAACAGCUUUAAAAUAUAACAGGGAUGGCGGAAGCUCUAUCAGAGUCACGAGGUUCCUGCAAUCAUCUAAUUCAAGCCAUUCUAGCAUUGAAUGGUUUUGGAUAUUCUCUGGGAGACUUUCUAAGUUGCAACACUCUUUCAAUUUUAGCUGUUUUAAAGAUUGUAUGCCAUCAAGGAUGGACCACAAACUUAAUGCAUUAAUUUCUGUGCACCCUGAAAGGUCUAGUUCCGUAACAAACCCAAGUCCAUGAUCAUCUGAUAACUUAUUCCCGACAAUGUUAAGCUUGUUACAUCCAGUUAGGUUAAUAACAGUCAUUUUGGUAUUACGCCAAAUUGAUGAAGACAAUUGAUGUAUAUCAGUGCCACAUAAGGAUAACUCUGUCAUUUCCUCCGAUGUCACUGAAAAUUCCAUGAGAGAUGAACAACCAUCAAGUUUAAGGUUUCGGAGAGAAUUUGAAUGAAUAUUGGUUUUAAGGCUUUCGAUCUUUAUGCAACCUCCUAAAUCUAGUACAAUAAGUCGAGGGAGAGAAAAGAUGUAUGGAUGGAGAUGACGCAGGCUUUCACAUUUAUAGAGAUGUACUUUUUCAAGAUUUGUAGCCCUAGAUAAGUUUGGGAUCUCAAUCAGAUCUUUGGAGUAAUUAAGGCUAAAUGUGAUUAGAUUCACAAGAUUCUGUAACAAGAAAUAAACAUGCAUUAGUGUCGAUUAAAAGAGAAACAAAACCUAGUUAAGAAUAAACAGAAGCAUGCCAUACUAACUCUGCUGCAUUUUUGUGAAUGACAUUAGACUUCCUCUUGUACCUCUAUAAAGUUAACAAGUACAUCCAAACAUUUUGUACCUGAACUCCAUCCCAGAGCUUUUUAAGCUUGCUAUGAGUCAUGUGAAGCUCUACAAGCAUUUCAGCACAAAAGUUUGAUGGAAAAGACUCAGGACAAUAUCCCUCCCAUUGAAGGUACCUCAAUUUAUCAGAAAGCCACUCGAGACCAUCAGGAAAAUGUACAUUGCAUAUGCUCCCGUUGGAUAUAUUAUGAAUCUUAAGAUAUCUUAAGUUUGUCAUCCUUCUAAAGGAAUCAGACUUCAAGUAUAGAUCCCCAACUUCCGUACUAUCGAAUAUUAUACCUUCCCCAACUUUAGUUCCCUGACAACGAAAAUUAGAUUAAUAAUUAGGAAAGGCUGUCAUAUGUACUUUCAUUGUUAUAUUUUAUAAUUACAUACAUAUAUUUUCAUAUAUAAGUGAUUGCAUCCUCUGCUUACCUUGUUUUCUUUUAAUAUAUCAGAUAUUUCUUUAGCUCUCCACAACCGACUUCGUUUUCCAGGGUUUAUAGAUUCUUGAUUAACAAUCUCCUGUCCCAUUUCUUGUAACAAAUCAUGUAUAUGUAAACUAUCAACUUCCAACUUGGCAUACGAGUGCCAAUUUGGUUUUACUUGUAUGAGAGCUUUAUCUAAAACGACUUCUAUCCCACUUUCUGCAAAGAACUCACAAGCUUCCAACAAAUCUAUUAUAAAUAUUUUAUGCUCUCCUCUCAAAAAGCAUGCAAUAUCUAAAAAUAUGGCCUGUUGAAAAAAAUCUAAGUCAUCAUAACUGAAUUUUAACACGAUAUAAAUUUUCCUAUUUGGAAUCUUUUCGAGCUUUUUCAAUUCAUUUUCCCAUGCCUCUUUGCCUCUUGAGCGGAGAUUUACCCCUAAAACUUUUAAAGCCAGAGGAUUGCCUUUGCAAUAGGCAAUUACACUUUCUGAUAGAUCUUCAUAUCCAAUUUUAGGCUGUUUUCCUCCGAAGGCAUUCAAACUGAAUAGCUGAAGAGAAUCAUGAUUGUUCAAUUACAUGACCUCAUAUAUCUCACAUUUACUGAACUGACUAAAUAUGUGCUUAUCUCUAGUUGUCAUAAUGACCCUACUACCCGGUCCCAGCCCAUCAAUUUUUAGGAUAAGAUCUUCUAUUUGCUCUAAGGUUUCUAUGCCAUCUAACACAAUUAAAACUUUAAUUUUACGUGAAAUCCUUCUCUUGGAUAAAGUGGCUUCUAUGUAGGAUGCAUCAGGAUGAAUAUUUUCCUCCUCUAACAAUGAGGAUAAAAGUUUAUUGUAUACAACAUUAUGUCCAUACCUGUUUGAUUCAUCCAUUACAUUGAGAAAGCAACAACCUUCAAAUUGAGAAUAAAUUAUAGCAUAUGAAGCCCUAGCAAGAGUGGUCUUUCCUAUGCCACCCAUGCCCCAUAUUCCAAGGACUCUAACAUCAUUUGAGCCAAUUUUCAGUAUUGACUCAAUUUGGUCAUAAUUUUUCUCAACUCCAACAAGCCCCUUAAUUUCACAUGGGUAACUAAGAUUCAGUUUCCGCAAAACAUAUUUAACAAUGUCCUUAAUGAAGUCCGAUUCGAUCCUAGAAUAUGAAAGAGAGGAAGAAGAUUUUACAAGUCUAACAAAUACAAUAGUAGAAAAGUACAUCUAUAUGAUUAGUAUACAAAAUUUAUAGUCAAUAAGGUGACAGUGGCUUAGUAGAGCAAGAAACAAACAAAAAUUAGAUUUGGGGAAACAAAAUACCAAAGACACAAGGUAAUAAAUGUAUAUUUUCUAUGACUUUGGUAGUUUUCAGAAGGUUGUGUCAACUAUUACUUUGGCCUGUUUAUUUUCAAAAAUUAUUUUUAGUGUUUGUUUUCUAAAAUUUAUGUUCAUUUCCAAUUAAGAAAAUGGAGAUGAAAGACUCAUGUAGUAAAUAGCUGUGCUAUAUUAGAAAACAAAACAUGUAAAUGAUAUGAAAUAGUUUAUUUAUUUUACUUCGAAUUUUUUCGUUUUGUUUACCUGUAAUUUUGAGAGUCCCAACCAACUAAACUAGCUGCCUCAGUGAGUGCAUCUUUCCAUUCCUGUAACUUGUCAUUAUUGCUCUUCAAAUCUCGCUUAUGUUUUGCGAAGGCUUGCUUGUAACUCCCAGUCUGCUUCCUCACAUGUGAUGGAUCUAUGUUGUAAAAAACAGGUAUCACAAUCUGUACCAUAUAUUUCUUGCAUUCAAGAAUCUUUUUGAGCUCAUUCAAGCACCAUUUUGAGGAAGCAUAGUUUUCUGAGAAGAUGACAAUAGACACAUGUGACUCCUCAAUGGCUCUGAUGAGUGCUGGCGAUAUCUUAUCUCCUUUUUGAAGCUCAUUGUUGUCUAUAAAGGUUUCAACUUUCUUUCGGCUCAGAGCAUCAUAAAGAUGGCAUGUGAAGUUUCUGCGGGUAUCCUCACCUCGAAAGCUAAGAAAAACGUCAUAUUUUUUCACAGAUGCCACAGAAGAAGAAAAAACACUGUUUGUUUGCUUCCUAGCCAUUAUGAAUUCCAAGCGCUGCGCUAAUCACAAUGCUACACUCAAACAUAAAAAAUAUUUGAUGUUUAAAUUUGUUCUCGGUUACUAUUUGUACUGGCACUCGUGAUAGUGUUACAUAUUGAGAUUUAUAAAUCAGAUUGACAUCAGAUCAGGCAGUUCAAAGUCCACAUAUUGCUCAUAUAUCGACCUAGGUAAUGUGUAUUUUUUGAUCUAGGAAAGCUAUAGAAUAUGGCAAUUCCACGGGCCAGAUUAAUUAUUACUUCACAUUCAUAGGCUAUUUAAGUCUAGUUUUAUGUAUGGACUCCAAUCAUGUUUAACCUUGUUGCUUGAAUUGAAUUCUAGGUUUUAUCAGGGUUUCUCUUCAUUAGCCUUUUAAACAUUGAGUAGUAAUUAACAAAUAUGAAGACUAACUUAGCAUUCAUUCUUCAGAACCAAUUUGAAAGACUAAUUUGAAAUAUUUGCCAAUAUUGAUUUCAAAUUCAAGGAUAAAAUUAUGAAUAAACUACAAUUAGAGAAACUAACUAGUUAAAUUAUAAUUGACGGAAAAUAGAUCAUACCAAAGUCAGAAUCCAGCAAUAAUUGAGGAGGAAAAGAAUGUACAAUGACAGUCACAAUCCCAGCAGGGCAAUUAGCUUCUACCGGAAUCAAUAAAUAGCUUCUACCGGAAUCAAAAGCAGGCCUAACCAAAUAAUUCCAAUAAUUUAGAUGAAUGUCUUUAGACACCAAUUUUUUCAUUUUUAAGUGUUUAGGUACAACAGUUCAUAAUGCUUUGGUCGUGAUUUUAUAUGGAUUGAUCAAAAUUAAAAUAUAAAAUAACAUGUGGAUUUCAUGGUUUCCCUUCAUAGAAGUUUCGAUUCCAAUGCGUAGUCAGAUCAGAUGCAUAAAUGUGCAAGACGCCGGCUGAUUAAAAUAUGGCUACAAGAGGAUAUAUAUUUAGAGAGAAUUCAAAUCCUUCUAAGUAAAUUUUAUUGUUUGGAUGAUUAAUUUAGAGAAUUUUUUAAUUUAAUGAAAUUUUAUAAAGUAUUUUGUUCAAGUUAAAUUGAGUGAAUUUCAAAUGACAAAUAAGAUCUAGGAAUUUCAAAUUUCAAGUAUCAUUGUAACAUACAUUUUACUUUGAAAACCUGGUUACUUUUUCUUAUCUAGUUAAAAUAAAUAAAUUUCAAGUAUUGUAAGUGCUGGGUUGAAAGAGAUGUGGUUUGAUCAUUAUGUAGGAUAAAAAAAAUAAAAAAAUAAAAAAAUAAAAUAAAAAAAUCAUGAAUAAAUGUUACUCACUCCAUCUCAAAAUAUAUAAUUUGCUGAGUUUCUGCCUAAUUUCAAUACAUGAUAAUUAGUCUAACAGAUAACUUAGUCUGCAUGAUGCCAAGUUGAUUUCCAAAUUUGGCAUACGGCAUAAAAUACCUUACCUUCCCCAGUCAGUUUGGCAAAGUGGUAAGUUCUUAUUGGUUGUCAGUGUGAAAGAAAUUUACACCGACAGUGCAUGCCCCUAACUCUAUUGAUAAAUGGUAUUUUACAAUGAUCUGAGUAUAGUUUUGACAGUUGACAUCAUUGGAAUGGGAAAUUUUUAGUUGACAAUGCCAAAUACAGUAAGAACUGUAAACAAUAGAACCAACAUUAUAGACUGUUAUUUUGUGGGAAACACCAAUAUCUUAGACCUGUAUCAUUUAAACAGGAAAACCCAUUUACAGAACCAUUGUUCUUCUUAUGUUUCUUUCAUAUGACUCAACCAUGAAAAUCGAGCAGCUACUGCAGAAAGGGGAAAGAGAAACGGGAAUGAAAAUUCUUUUGGCGGUAAAGCGUAUUAUGCUUGGAGAAAGUGGCGCUUCAACCAUUAUGAUCAAGAACAUGAAACCACAAGGGAAUAGGGAUCCAUACACAAAUUGAUUAAUAUACCAACAAGUUCAGCACAAAAAAACUGAAUAAAAUUAGGAAUAUUUCUGAAAUGGUAUAAGUAACAAGCAACGUAUCACAAGAUUUUACAUGAAAAACAGGAGAAAGAGAUCACAACAUUUCUGACUUGUAUUAUUCUUUUGACCCUCUUAGCAAGUGCCUCAAAAAAAGACCUGUCCAGGAAUCAUGAGAAUUUUAAAACAAUUAUUCAUUUGAAGGAUUAAACUCUUUCUAUAUCAAAAUAAACUAAUAUGGAAUUUAUAAUUAGAAAGUAGAUGAGAAGAUUCAUACCGAUUGAACAGCAAGGAUGUUUCUGGUCAUCUUCAUUUUCAAUGUUGGAGCUUAUGACUUCACCUCCAAUUGCUGAAGGCUGUAACUCAUCAUUAUAAUUUUCCUGGCCAUCUUCAAUUUCAUUGUUAGACCAAUAAGACCUGUCAGAAUAUUGAUUACUGAAUUUUAAUUUACCAAUUUCCCUACCAGCCAGAUCCGACUUAUGUUCUAAGUUAUAUACAGGUAAGAUCCCACACCCUUUGAUCCCCUCCGUUGACCACCCCAAUUCUACGUUAUGUAUGAAUUGAAAUGAUAGUUUACAAUCAUUACUUCCAAAUUUUUCUCUUUUGUAACAAUACCAACAUAACAAUACAUGAUCUGAAAUUAAUCUCACAAUAUAAAGGGCAAAACAAAUAAUACACCUGUCGACUUCUUUGCCGUGUUCUAAGAUGAUACAAUGCAGGGGGUGACUCUGAAAAAGGAAGCCCUCAGAAAGAAUGGUGCAGAAUAUGAAACCAGACAGGUUAUAUUUUGGAAUAGGAGGAAUGGUUAUUGAAGCCUUCAUUGUUUGAAAAUCAAACUUGCAAGGAACUUGUGCUCCUGGCCAGAAAAGGUAAUUGGCAUCUUUAUUUACAUGAAAAGGGUCUUUAGAGAAAAUUUGUACCAUGUUCUCAAGAAAUGACCGUUGAGUGGAGUCUGUAUCCAGAUAAGUGCAAUUAAUGCCACUCAAAGUUAUUAGGGAUGACGGAAGUUCUGUUAGAGACACAAGUUUCCUGCAACCAUCUAAAUCAAGCCAUUUUAGCAUUGAAUGGUUUCGGAUAUUCUCAGGGAGACAUUCCAAGUUGCAACACUCUUGUAAUGUUAGCCCUUUUAAAGAUUGUAUGCCAUCAAGGAUGGACCACAGACUUAAUGCAUUCAUUUCUGUGCACCCUGAAAGGUCUAGUUCUGUAACAGACCCAAGUCCAUGAUCAUCUGAUAACUUAUUCCCAACAAUGUUAAGCUUGUUACACUUGGAUAGGCCAAGCGAAGUAAGUUUUCUAUUACGCCAAAUCGAUGAAGACAAUUCACGUAUAGCAGUGCCACCUAAGGUCAACUCUGUCAUUUCAUCCGAUGUCACUGAAAAUUCUGUGAGAGAAUAACAACCAUCAAGUAAGAGUUCACGAAGAGAUUUUGAAUGAAUGUUGGUUUUAAGGCUUUCAAUCUUUUUGCAACCUCGUAAAUCUAGAUAUCUAAGAUCAGGGAGAGAAAAGAUAGAAGAAUGGAGCUGACCCAGGCUUUCACAUUGAAAAAGAUAUACUCUAUGAAGAUUUGUAGCCUUAGAUAAGUCUGGGAUCUCAAUCAGAUUUUUGGAGGAUUCAAGCCAAAGUAUGUUUAGAUUCACAAGAUUCUGUAACAAGAAAUAAAAACACCAUUUAAAUUCAUAAAUAGAGAAACUAAACCUAAUUAAGCAUAAAUAGAGACUUUUUAAGAAUGAGCAUUAGACUUCCUCUCAUACUUCAAAAAAUUAACAAGUAUAUCCAAACACAUUUGUACCUGAACUCCAUCCCAUAGCUUUUUAAGCUUGCUAUGACUCAAGUGAAGCUCUAUGAGCAUUUCAGCACAAAAGGUUGAUGGCAAAAACUCAAGACAGUAUCCUUCCCAUCGAAGAUACCUCAAUUUAUCAGAAAUCCACUCAAGACCAUCGGGAAAGUACACAUUGCAUGUGUUUCCUCUAGAUAUAUUAUAGAUUUUAAGAUAUCUUAAAUUUUUCAUCCUUCUAAAGGAAUUAGACUUCAAGUAAAGAUCCCCCACAUCUGUACUAUCGAAUGUUAUCCCUUCGACAGCUUCAGUUCCCUGAUAAAAAUUACAUUAAUAAUUAGGAAUGAUUGUCACAUAUACUUUCCUUGUUAUAUUUCAUAAUCACAUAGAUGUGUUAUUUUGAUGUAGAAGGGAAUAGAUCCUCUACUUACUUUGUUAUAUUUUAAUACAUCGGAUAUCUCUUCAGCUUUCCACAGUCGACUUCGUUUUCCAGGAUCUUCAGAUUCUUGAUUAACAAUCUCCCGUCCCAUUUCUUGUAACAAAUCAUGCAUUUCUAUAGUACAAACUUCCCUUUUGACAUGCAAAAUUGAAUCUAGUUGAAUGAGAGCUUUAUCUAGAAGGACGUCUAUCCCACUUAUUGCAAAGAAAUCAGAAGCUUCCAGUAGAUCUCUUACAAAAUCUUUACCCUGUCCACUCAACAAGCAUGCGAUGUCUAGAAAUAUGGCCUUUUGACAACGAUCUAACUCAUCAUAACUCAAUUUUAACACAUUAUGAAUUUUUCGAUUGGGAAUCUUUUGGAGCUUUUUCAAUUCAUUUUCCCACGCUUCUUGGCCCCUUGAACUGAGAUUUGCACCUAAAACUUUUAAUGCCAGAGGGUUACCUUUGCAAUAGGCAAUUACACUUUCUGAUAGAUCUUCAUAUCCAAUUUUAGGUUGUUUUUCUUUGAAGGCAGUCAAACUGAAUAGCUGAAAAGAAUCAUGCUUGUUCAAUUCUUUAAGCUCAUAUAUUUCACAUUUACUCACCUGACUAAAUAUGUGCUUAUCUCUAGUUGUAAUAAUGACCCUACUACCUGGUCCCAGACCAUCAAUUUUUGGGAUAAGAUCAUCUAUUUGCUCUAAGGUUUCUACACCAUCCAACACAAUUAAAACUUUUUUACGCCCAAUCCUUCUCUCGGAGAAAGGGGCUUCUAUGUAGGAUGCAUCAGGAUGAAUAUUUUCUUCCUCUAACAAUGAAGACAAAAGUUUAUUGAGUACAACAUUAAGUCCAUACUUGUUUGAUUCAUCCAUUACAUUGAGUAAGCAACAACCUUCGAAUUGAGAAUACAUUUUAGCAUAUAAAGCCCUAGCAAGGGUGGUCUUUCCUAUGCCACCCAUGCCCCAUAUUCCAAGGACUCUGACUUCAUGUGACCCAAUUUUCAGCUUUGAUUCAAUUUGGUCAUAAUUUUUCUCAAUUCCAACAAGCCCGGCCUUAAUUUCAUAUGGGUAUUUAAGAUUCAGUUUCUGCAAAACAUCUUCAACGAUAUCCUUAAUGAAGCGUGAUUCAGUCCUAGCAUACGAAAGAGGGGAAGAAGGUUUGAUAAGUCUACAAAUACAAUGGAAGGAAAAUACAUCUAUAUGAUUGGUAAAUAAAAUUUAUAGUCGACAUGGUGGCACUGGCAGUUCCUUAGCAGAGCAAGAAAGAAAGAAAAUUAGAUUUGAGGAAAUAAAUACCAAUGAUAGAGAAUGUAAUUAAUGUCUAAAUUUUCUAGGAAGUGAAAUCCUAAUGAAAAUUCGAAAAAAAUAAAUAAAUGUUUUAUGCUAGAAAUAUAACACAACUGUGUGGGAUGGAUAGUGCAGAUUUCAAAAAUUGUGUGUAUGCAGGGUACAAGCAUAUGAUUAUUAAAUAGUUUUCAGAAGGUCAUAUCAACUAUGGCCAGGCACAUAAACAUCAUUGUUCACUUCUCCAAAUAAUUCGGCCUGUUUACUUUCUAAAAUUAAUUUUAGCUUUCAUUUUUUAAAAUCUAUGUUCAUUUCCAACCAUGAAUAAGGAGAUGAAAGACUCAUGUAGUAUAUAAUUGUGCUAUAUUAGAAAACAAAACAUGAAAAUUAUAUAAAAUAGUUUAUUGGUUUUACUUAGAAUUUUGAGAACAUACAAGUCAUGGCAUGUACAAAGCUCGAUAGUUCGUUUUACUUACUCAAAAUUUUGAAAGUCCCAACCGCCUAAACUAGCUGCCUCAGUGAGAGCGGCUUUCCAUUCCUGUAACUUGUCAUUAUUGCUCUUCAAAUCUCGCUUAUGUUUUGCAAAAGCUUGCUCGUAACUCCCGGUCUGGUUCCUCACAUGUGAUGGAUCUAUUUUGUAAAAAACUGGUAUCACAAUGUGUUCCUUAUAUUUCUUGCAUUCAAGAAUCUUCUUGAGCUCAUUCAAGCACCAUUUUGAAGAAGCAUAGUUUUCUGAGAAGAUGACAAUAGAUGCAUGUGACUUCUCAAUGGCUUUGAUGAGUGCUGGCGAGAUCUCAUCUCCUUUUUGAAGCUUAUUGUUGUCUAUAAAGGUUUCAACUUUCUUUCGGCUCAGAGCAUCAUAAAGAUGGCUGGUGAAGUUUCUGCGAGUAUCCUCACCUCGAAAGCUAAGAAAAACGUCAUAUUUUUUCAGAGGCACCACAUCAGAAGAAGAUAUGGAAGAAAAAGCACUGCUCAUUUUCUACCUAGUGAUUAUGAAUUCCAAGUGCCUGCACUAAUCACAAUGCUACACUCAAAAAUAAAAUAAAAAUUUAUGUUUAAAUGUGUUCUUGAUACUUGUCAAUGAUAUUUUUGACAGGUACUCGGUUCAUAUAUCUGAUUGACAUCAGAUCAAGCAGUUCAAGGUUCACAUAUUGCUCAUCUAUGGAUAUAAUAAAUAAACAGCAUUUGUUAUUUCAAGUCGUUUGUGAUUCUUGGAAAUUUGUUUGUCUUAUAUUAAUGGCUUGCUUAUGAUGUGGAAAACCUAUACAGUUAUUUUGAAGAUGAAAAAACUUGAAUAGACAUUAAAAGCUUAAUGACAUGAAAUAGUAAAGAAUCUUAACAUUUUUUUGAAUGACAAAUCCUAGUAGUUAGUUGUUAGAUUAAGUAUUGACUAUUUCGUCCAGGUUUGAACCGAGAGUCUCCAACUUCUUAUCCGUGAGUUCAAAUUUCAAACCAGUUGAGCUACUCAACCUCCCAAAUAAAAAAACUUAACUCAGAUUAAGUGAAGAGCAACCAAAAUAAAACAUAGAAUUCAAUUCAAGCAACAAGGUUAAGCAUCAUUGGAGUCCAUACAUAAAAUUAGUCAUAAAUAACCAGCCUAUGAAUGUAAAGCAAAAACAAAUCUGGCCCAUGUAUGAUACUUUUUUCUCAAGCAGCAUUUUCAGAUACAAAACAGAGUAAUUUCCUAAUCAGUAAAAAUGGGGUACAAAUAAGAAAUAUGAAGACUAAUUAAACAUUCAUAUACAAUUCUUGAAGACCAAUUUAAUCUUAUAAGUUAAAUUAAAAUUGAUGGAAAAAAGAUGAUACCAAAGUCAGAUCCAGCUUAAUGCAAUAGAGGAGAAAAAGACUGUAUGGCUUAGCUUCUGCUGGAAUCAAUUUUGGAUCAAAAUAACAAAUGUGAUUUCACUGUUAUGCAAUCCUAAGUAAAAUGGCUUCAUUGCUCUUUAACAGAUACCAUAAGAUAAAAUAUACUGUAACAUACAGUAACCUUGUUGACUUGGGGGCUUCACUUGGGUUCCAACUACUUUUAAGUUUUAACCAGAAAAAUAAAUACAUGUGUAUUUAAGGCCACAAGAUUAAAUACAAACUUUAUCUUAAAAAUAACUCAUUCAACAUCUAAAAUUUAUAAAAUUGAUUUUUUUUUUAAAAUAGAAUUUAUCACUUGUUUCCUUUUUAGUUUUAUACUAAAUGUUUAGCUCAGUUGAUACAGUGCAUAAUAUAUGCAAAAUCCAGGGUUCGAAUAUUGGACGCCAUCAAAAAGAAAUGUUUUUAAAAAGUUAUUAACAAGAUUUUUUCAUGGUAAAUUCUAUCCACUAAACUACUUGAUAAAAAAAAUAUAAAAAAAAAAAAAAAAGACAGCAUCCAUAUUGACGUUAGUAAAUCUUAUGAUAAUUUAUCGAAAAAAUAAUAAUAAAUAAGAAUUUACAUAGAUAUGUUAUUUCGGCCAUACCCCAGUGAAAGUUGAGAAUAGAUAAAAGGUGUUUGUAUUUGACAUUUUUGUCGAAUAUCUAUACUUUUAAAAAAUUAAAAAAAUACAUGGUUUUUGGAAUAACUUUUUCAUUUCUAAUUAUACCUCUAAGCAAAUCUGUCUAGAAGAAAUAGAAGAAAUAUAUAAUUGAAUCCUGUCAUCUUUUAAUUUUUCUAAUUACAUUUCAUGUAUUCAUGGUUACACACUAAAAUGAUAAAAUUAUCCUUAAAUAAAAUUUAAUUUAAUCUUAAACUCGGUUUAAGUAGGUCAUGUAAACUUAAUUUUAGUAGACAAUGUAAACUGAGUUUAAGUGUAACACUUUAAGUAAGUUAUAUAAACUUAGCUUAAGUAGGUCAUGUAAAAUGAUCAGUUUAAGUGUACAUACUAAAAGUUAAAUUUUGCUUUAACCUCUUCAACCUUGUUUAAUGAUUCUACAUAAUCUUAUUUUAAGUAUGUACUUGUAAACUCAACUUAGGUAGACUAUGUGACUAAAUUUACAUGUACCCACUUAAACUGAAUUUAAGUUAACCUCAACGAUGUUAAUUAACGUUGUUUAUGUUGCACCAUUAAAUAAUCGUGUUGUAAAGUGCAUAACAUAUCAACGUUUGAACAACAAAGAAAAAAAAUCGAAACUCUAGCAUCAAUGAAAAAGAAGAAGAAAUUCAAUUAUUUAUAUGCAAUAGAGUAUGGACGAAAGAUGUUUUGAUUCACUCUUUAAUCUUCUAUAUAGAUUGAUUGACCAUCCAUAAUUGUUUGUGGGGGAAAGCGGGUGAAAUUUUAGAGUGACAAUGAAUGAAAUCAAGGUUUUAAGAAAAUUUAUAUAAAAGAACAAUUUUAAUUUUAUUAUAAAAUUUUAAGUAAAUAUAUGUGUAAUAAGAAAUACAUAGGAUGUAAAAAGAAAAACUCUUGUUAUCAUCAAAACUCAAAGUGGUGUUGUCAAACACAUUUUAUUCCAACAAUAUGUUCGAUAAAACGCAUACAAGUCUGGGAUCAUCCUUGACUUUAUAAUGUUGCGUGCAUUUUACCAACUACUUAUCAACAUUUGUAGUGGCCAUAUAUCAUUGUUUUAAACCUGUUGAUUACACCUAAGCAGCAAUGGAGCUAAUUAAUGGAUUUUUUUGACAAUAAUAGAACCAUAACUACAUGACUGCCUACUUGGAAGCUUGAGAAUGAUGGUGUUUAUACAGUUAAGAAUCCAUACAAGGACAUUAUGAAUCAUGAUAUGGCCCUUUUGCAACAUCGUGUGCCGAGAAAUUGGAAUUAUGUUUGAGUUUAAAGUUGCCACCGUAGCUACCACAAUUGUUUGCCUACUACAAUUCGAUUGCAAUUGAAAGGUGUUUCGUGUACUGAUUUGUGCGCGAUGUGUGAAGACUUUGGUGAAGAUAAUACUUAUUUGUUUUUAUGUGUAGUAAAAGUGUGCUUUGUUGGAAGCACACGAUUUUGGAUUCCUUUGAUGGUAGUCUUCGAUCUUGCUGCAAGUUUCUCGAAAAAUGUGUUUUCUAUUCUAUAACAUCUGGACCAGCAGCAAAAACAAAUCUUUGGUGUGACGCUAUGGAGUAUUUGGAAGAAUAGAAAUAACAAGGUUUGUAACAAUGUUACUGAAACAUCUCAAACUAUUUGUGAACGUGCACGUUCCUUCUCGCUAGCUGGAUGAAUGCCCAAACUAUUCGACACCAUACUUUUCGGCAUUCCAUUACACAGAGCGAUCUACAUAUUGACAUAACCAAGUCCCGACAGGUUCAAAUGCAAUGUAGAUGCUUUCUUUUCUCAUGCUCUGAAUCGAGUCGGGCUAGGUAUGUGUAUUCGAGAUGAUUGUUGAACCAAAAAUCUUUUUGAUGAAUGUUUUAAUAAUAACAAACUUUAUGGAAUAAACACUAAGUUUUAUGAAUGGUGAUCUACUGAUGUUUGCACUUAAGUCUUUUCCGAGAAGUAAACAAGAAAUAAGUCUUUUACAAGUGCAUAGAUAUAUUCAAUGAAAGAAUACCAAAACAAUAGCAUCACAAGCUCAAAGAAGAUAUAGAAAAAAUAUUGUUUGAAUCAAAUGAGUAUUGAUUGAAGAUUCAACAAGAAGAUGUAUUUUAUGAUCAAUUGACUCAUCCUCAUCACCACAUGGUUUUCAACAAAGCAUUAAAAAAUUUGAGGAAUAAAGGGUUAAUAUUUGAAAGACACUUAAUGAACAAGAAACAUUGUGUGGAAUCACUAAGAGGAACUAUGAGAAGAAUUGUAUCAUCAAACAAUUCAAGGUUAAUUGACCAAGAAGAUAUUGUCUUCUUAUAUAGAAGAGAACAUUAUCAACUUUGAUGAAAAGAAGGUUCUCAUGAUGAAGAUGAUUAUUACACUCGAAAUAAUUAGAAUCAACUUUGAAGAGAAACCAACCGAUGAAUAAAUUAUUUAUUAAGUCAUUCAUUAAUUGGAGAACUAUCAAGGAAGACAAAUCAUGAUCAUAUGCAUGAAGAUUCUAUCAUAAAAGACUUAGGAUGAUCCAAGAAUCUUCAAUCAUUUUUCAAGAUAUAAUUUGGGAGAAUAGAAAUCAAUAAAAGGAAUUUUUACUUUGAGAAAGGUUUCUCAUGUUCUUACAAAAGAACAUUAUGGUCAUAAAAAGUGAAGAGAACACCUUCACUUUAUGUUUUUAAAGAUAACACAUAUUUACAUUUAUUAUCUUGUUAUCUACUAAUGUGAGAAUGUUUCAGUGAGAAUGUUCUCAAGAACGUUCUGACCUCGCAAAGAUAACAAAACAUCUUUAACAAAGCAAAUGACAAAAAUCAUCUUUUGAUAAAUGUCAAGAAUGUGCAUAAUCAAAGAUCAAGAAUAAUUGUUAUUCUCUUUGUCUCACCAAAAGAAGGAUCAAUGAUCAUAAAAAUCAAGAUCCUUAAAGGCAUUAAAUGGCAAGAAAUCAAGACAAAUCAAAGCAUUAUGGCACAUGGGCCAUGAUAGCAAAAGAACAAAGAUUAAAUCAUAAUGGCCUUAAAAGAGUGAAAAGAUUCAUUAAAGAAAGGCUUAAAUAUGAUAUUAGUCCCUGUAAUUUGGGUCGGUUUUGAAUUUCGUCCCUGUAAAAAAAAAACUUUGAAUUACAUCCCUGUAAAAAAAAAUUUGUUUGAAAAAGGUCUAUGGCCCCACAUUUUUGAUGAUAUGGCAUGGGUUUUGCCACAUGGCAGUUGCUGACUGUGCAACUUAUGCCACAUGGCGCUGACGUGGCAUGCCACAUAAUAUUAAAUUUAAAAAAAUAAUUUUUAAAUUCUAAAAAUUGUUUUUAAAAUUUAAAAAUAUAAAAAAAAAAUCUGAAAAAAAUUUAAAAAUAUUAAAAUUAUUUUUAUCAUAUAAUUUUCAAAAAAAUUUUUUUUUUUAAAUUAUAAAAUCUGAAAUUUCUGAAAAAAAAAAAUGAAAUGAUUUUUUUUUAAAAUAUGAAGAAAAAAAUAUAAUUUUCAAAUUAAAAAAAAUUAAUGAUCGAAAAUUUAAUUUUAACUGUUUUUUUUCGAUUUUUUAAAUGAUUUUUGAAUUUAUUUUCAUAUUUUUUUAAAUUUUUUAAUUACGUGGCUGCCACGUGGCAAAACCUAUGCCAUAUCAUAAAAAAUGUGGGGCCAGGGACCUUUUUCAAACAAAAAAAAAAUUUACAGGGAUGUUUUUCAAACUUUUAUUUUACAGGGACGAAAAUGAUAUUUAAGCCUUAAAGAAAUAUCUCAAAGUUGUUCCUUGUGGAAAAAGCAUAUGACAUCAUCAUAUAGCAUAAAGAUGACAUAAACACAUCUUAUCAAGUGGCUAGCAAGCUUCUACAACAAUAUUACAGCUGAUAACAACUUGCAAAACGUGUUCCUUCUUUGUACAAGUUUGGCUGGUACAGAGAGAACGUUAUGGAGAACGUUCUGGGUAAGAAAAACCAUCAAAGAAAGAUCUCAAAGUUGUGCCUUAGCAUAUGACAUCAUGCAAUGACAUCAAGCUUGCAUCAUCUUAAGUGGCCUCCAAGGCUUCUACAAUCAGGCAUAUAACUCGUUACAUCUUGCAAAAACGUGUUGCUCUGUGCCCAAGUUAUGGCUGGAAUAGAGAGAACGUUCUCGGUGAACAGUUUCAUGCUUUCUCUCCAAGCAUCAAAUGGAGCCAAUUUAUUUUGAAUUUGAAUUGAGCUCCAAUAGCUCUUUUUUGACUUGUUCUCCAAGGAUACAUCUCCUAUAAAUAGAGGACGUCCAUGAAGGUUAAUAGCAAGAGUUUUGAUAUACAAAAGCUUUGACAUCUCUCUCUCUCUCAAAGCUAAAGAAAUCAUUAUCUUCAUCAAUCUCUUUAACAUCUCUUUCGACAAUCACAAAGCAAACUCCAUAAUCUUUCACUAUAUUUAUCAUCUUUAUCUCUCAUUGAGAACAUCUUUCUGAGUUUGUAUUUGUACAAGGAUAGUUUGUUUGAGACGCUAGAUCCAAACAACAUCUUUCUCAUUUUCGUUUGAGACAUUAGAUCCAAACAAUCAUCUUACAAAGAGAUAACUAGAUCUCAAGUCUAUUGGGCUUAAUAGUUUGAGAUAGGAAGAGUUCCAAGCUUUCUUGUGCAAAAGCAAAGAAUUGUAGAAGCCUGCUGAGGUUGAUAAUACAAGGGUUACAGACUGAUCUGGUGUGAUCAAGACCUUAUAGUGUUGGUUAGAAGUUUCUACCAACUGAAUACUAUAGUGGAUAAUCUCACACGAAAUGUGGGGACUGUGGAAGUAACCGGGAUUGGUGAACCAGGAUAACUCUCCUGUGUUAUUCUUCUUUCUCUCUCCCUCUCUAUCUUUUAUUUUUACACAAUAUGCACACACUAUCACACUCAUUAAUAUUUAUAACUCCUCUCUCCCUCCCUCUCUCCUGUGUUAUUCUUCUUUCUCUCUCCCUCUCUCUAUCUCUAAGAUAUUCUGGUCCUAAUUAAUCACAACCAAAUUAAUCCAGAGUUCUCUGGUCGUUAAAUAACCAUUAAUAUUGUUUUAUCAUUCAGCUUAAUAAUUAAUUAUAACUGCUUUAUAUUUAUCCAGAGUUCUCUCGUCCUUAAUUAACCAUAAGAUUAUUUUAUCAUUCAGUUUAAAUAAUUAAUUAUAUAAUUAUUAUCCAGAACAUUCUGGUCCUUAGUAAAACUGCUUAAUUAUUUAAACCUUACUUUAUCCAAAACAUUCUGGUCCUUGAUAAAACAAUUGUUUAAAUAUCUAAAUAUUUUAUAAUCUUCUUUUAUCUAACAUUUACCAAGAAUUUUCUUGAGUACAUAAACUUGUUAAGUUUCAGGAUUAAAUUUAAAAAGGGUCACAAUUCAAACCCCCCCUUUCUUGUGACUAUUUCUUCCACUUCAAUGAUGAGAGGUUGUUUUGUGUUACCUAAAACCAAAUGGUUGACUCCGGUCCUUGAUGUGGACUUGAAGAGGCUUUAGGUUUAUUAUAAACAUUGUAUUGGGUGCGUGAUCUAUAGCUAGGUAUUGUGGAUUUUGGCCUUGAUUCCAAAAAUGUGGUGGAUAGUCUCUAUGGUAGAAAAAGUAACGUUACUAAUUAUAGUGCAGUUAUAAUUGAUUGUAGACGCAUGUUAGCUUGUGAUUUAGCAAUUGAUGAUGUUAGGUUUAAUCAGAGACAAGCCUACGAAGUCGCUGAUGUUAGUUUCUAUAUUCAUACUAAGAUUACAUCGUGUAUCUCAACUAUUAUGCAAUAAGUUUCUUUAUGUCUAAAAAUAAUAAUUCAUUUUCUACUCAUUGUCCAAGAGUAGCACCUCUUAAGCAACCAUACAUCAACACCACUUCAGCGCCACCGUCAAGGGCACCACCAAACAAUGACUCUACCAUAACUCUUACAUCCUCGCCGUAGUCAAAGUCAUUGAAUCCCACCCCCAUCGUCGAUCUAUGAUUUUCCCCUGGUUCCGUCCUGGCCUCGACCAAAACUACAAUCGCCACCAUAAAAGGUUCUAUCUUCACUCCCGUCAUCGGCACCACCUCCAAAACCACCUAAUUGCAUCUCUAUUUACGGAAUCAUUGACUUUGAGGACAAGGUCAAUUUUGAAGAGCAGAGUAGUGAUAACAUUAACCAAGAGGAAGAAAUUUCGGAUAACGUAUAACAAAUGAUGUUAAAGUGAAGGGAUUGCAUUACUAUCCAGGAACAAUAAGAUUAGCAGAUAAUAAUAGGAAGGUAGUUUUAUAUUUGUUUGUUAUGUUCUGAGUAAUAAUAGAUAAUUUAGUUGUAUAUCCUUAGAUAUUAAUAACUUCGUUUUUUUUUGUCAAAUUGUCUAGUGGUUAAAACUCACAUAUUUUUUAUUAAAAAAAAAAUAACUAACACAUUUUAAAUAUGGACAUAAGUAUUUCGUGAUUAUAUAUUACCGAAACUUCUCUGAAGGACAUAAAUCUAUAUUUCAUUUCUUGAUUGCUUUUCAGAGAAGUUUCGAUAAUAUAUAAUACAAUAACAAUAUUGACUUGGGUUCCAGUCUACUUUCUAUAAAAAAUAAAAAAUAAAAUGGGUUUAUGCCACGUUGUAUAAAAUAACAAUAAUAAAAUAAAUAUAAUAACCAUAUUAAUUAAUAAAAAACAAAGAUAAGAAAUGUGAUUAAGAAAGGAAGGAAGGAAAAAUCCAAAGUGUCUUCUAGGAGCAAAGGUGUCAUGACAUUAUUAUUAGUAUUUUUAUGGAACAAUAUUUAGGGUAGCAUGCCUCAUUCUAGUUAAGAAAAAAUUCAAGGUUCAAUAAAUGCUUGCAUAAAUUCUUACAUACUAUUCAUUAAUUAAAUAUAAGUUGUAUUCUUACUAAAUUGCUGACAUGACAUUAUUCUUUAACAAGCAUACAAAAGAUAUGACAUUAGAGAUAGUGACCCUUUAAGUAAAAAUAUGUACAUCCUCUAGUUAAUAUUAUAAACAAAAAUUAGCAUUUUAUAUUCAUUCAUUAAAUUAUAUAUGUGGUUAAUAAUAAAGACUAUAUACAUUAUUUAAUGAAUGAAUUUGUCAAUAUGCGUGGUCAGAUCAGAUGCAUAAAUGUGUAAGACGCUGGGUGAAUAAAAGAUCUGGAGUACAAAUCCGAACCACCAAAAAAAACUUACAUUGUGAAUUCAAUUUCCUAUAUUAAAACUUACGGUGUGAAUCUAAUUUCCUGUAUUAAAACUUAAGGUGUGAAUCUAAUUUUCUAUAUUAAACUAAAUAGCUGUUAGAUGAGGUCCAUUUCUUUUUAUUUGUUUCUUACCAAUCAAUUUCAGUAACCUUUAAACAAAUGUCAUAUUGUUGAAUCGUGAACUUUCUUCACACGUUCAAUGGCUGGUCCAAUUUAGAAAAUAUUAAUGAAUACAUGCUUUGAUAAAUUAUUUAUCAAAAACUGAUUUAUAUACUUUUUACACACAAGGAAUUGAGUUGGACAAACCCCUUCACUCCGACCUCAUCCCCCAAUCCCUCCCACCGCCAAUUUCAAGUGUGUUUAGCUGAGAAAAAGUUAUGUAAUGUUUUGAAAAAGUUAUAAAGUAUUAUGUUUAAGUUAAAUUGAGUGAAUUUUAAAUGAUAUUUAAGAUCUAAGAAUUUCAAAUUAUUUCCUAUUAGAUAUAUCUUUCAAAAUUUCCAAGUUGGUCCCCAUAUUUUUCAAAAAAAAUAAAUUAACCCUUAAAUAUUUAAAAUAAAUUGCAAAUUGAUCCUUACAAUUUCUUGAAAAUUAUAAACCGCUUUCAAUUUUUGAAUUCUACAAAUCAGCCCUCAAUUUUUCAAUUUUUCAAUUUGGCCCAAAAUUUUAUAAAAUAUAAAAGUAAGUAGCACAAAAAUAUAACUGAAGUAUUUUAUCACUGUAUCCAAACAAAAAUAUUAAAAAAUAAAGGGAUCUAGCGUCGAUCAUCUCACAAGGUGUUGGGAUGAUUUAUACCGCCGCUAUGAAAAUUAGAACUUUAAGUGCUUGUUUGGUGUAACACUCCUAUUUCUAUUAAAGCAAUUAAACAUGCAAAUAAUACAUUUAUUCAAGAAAUAGAGGCUACGCCACAUUCAAAAUUCAAAAACCAAUAAACAUGUAUAUAAACCUCAACAGUUGCAGCGGAAUAUAAAUCAGAGUAAUCCAAAUGUAUACAUGUCAUGAAUAAUAAAUUACAUCACAUAGAUGCAUCUCAAAAAUCCCAAACAAAACGGAUAAUCUCCAACAUAACAAAAUCCAAAAAUAACCUAAUCUAGACCGACACAACAAGCCUAGAUCAGAGCCAACUCAACACCGAUAUCGGAGAAAGCUCCCGAUAUCCCAAGCACAAACUCACCAAGCACUACUCCUGCACAACGUCUACCCAUCCAUACAGAUAGGUAGGCGGUUAAAACCACUAGGGUAAGUAUUACAUUAUCAUAAUCCAAAUAACAGAUAACAUGAGUAUUUCAAUAUAAACAUCAUGCAUUUGAUCAAUAGUAAUCACACAUUAAUACUUACAUCACAUCCCAAUAUCUCACAUCAAUAAUCAUCAAUCACAUAAACAGUUAACAAUUCACAAAUAUUCAUUCACAAUCUCCAAACACAAAUAUUCAUGAAUAGUCAUUAAUCACAUUUCACGAACAAUCACCAAUCACAUUUAUCAAACAAGACUCAUGUCAUGAUAUGCACUUAUUGACACAUAAAUGCAUGUGGUACCAAAUCUCCAAAAGGUCGUCACCUCCGAUGGAACAACUCAACAUCGUAUGUAAGGGUUCACACCCGCCUUACAUAAUCUCCGAAGUAAAAGAGCACAACCUUUUUACAACUACACGACUAUGAUGCAUGGACAUGUAAAAAAACUAGAUAAUGCGACAACAAUCACAAUUUUCUCCACAAUAUAUAGGAAAACACCCAAUUAUAUUGUUCAUCUCCACAUCAUUUGCAUUAUCAAGAAAACAUGCCCAUUCAUAAUUAAAUCAUAGUAUUCAUCAUUACACAUCAACGUGAUUAUCAAUAAUCAACGAUGUCAUUCAAUCAUCAACUAUCACAUAUAGUUUCACAAAUUCAAACAUUCCUUACAUCUUAAGUAAGAUAGCAUACACUUCUCAUGAUAAUUAUCAUAUCCAAAAUACAAUCAUUCAUUCAUACAACUUCACUUAGUCAUAUAAGAAUGAUCACAACAAUUCAUAAGACAAUACGACUUAAAGAUUCACUAGACCCCCUUUUCACAAGGUUAAUUCUUCCAUAAAAACACCCCUAGAUGAUUAGGAUAAAGUCCCUAUACAUAGAAAUAAGUUUGGAAACAAUUGGAUCAAAGAAAAUUGCAUUUUAAAAGUUUCUGGUCAGGCAAAAUCGUAGUCCGAAUUUUCCCCAUCGUAGUACGAUUUUUUUCGAGCUGAAACAACCCAAAAUCUGGUCAAAAUCGUAGCCCGAUGGAUAAAAUUGUAGUCCGAUUUCUGCCUGACAGACAACAUCAGAUUUUCCAAUUUUCACGUUUUCGCGCGUAAAAACCAAACCGUUAAUCCGUUUUCGGUGCCGUUUUCACCUACUUGUUCAUGACACUUAGCCCUAUCUUAAUGUACAGAAAAAUUCAAGUUUCAACAUUCCCAAAUUCAUUUUUCAAAGCCUUACACAACACUCAUUUUCCAAAACGGUUAACAAUUGAAUUUUCACCCGAAUCUCCCGUUUUCUCCCAAAACGACUCGACUAUCACAACUACAACCUAAAAACAGAAAUUCCAUCAAGUUUAACUCAUCCAACCACAUAGACAACUCAGUCAACAACUUUGUAUAUCAAAUUUCACUUUGGUCCUUCACAUGACCAUCUAGCACAACUUCACCAAUACAAACAACUUACUUCAUGAAAUGGAAUACCCAUGUUAUCAUUCAACAACAUCAACAUAUCUACUUUAACAACACCUCAUUUAGACAUGAAUUCAAUCAUAAUUCAAUUACACAAUAUCCCAAUCCAACAAUUGAGCAAAACACAUAAGUAUCCAUUUUCACCAAACCAACAACAACAACUUAUUUCACAACAACAAACUAUGAAUCAUGCAUACCCAAGCCAUGAAUUAGCAUCCAUAACAUCACUUAACAACAACAACAUCUAUUGAUCAUGAAACAUAUCACAAUUCAUCAACAACCAUCCAUAAUUCACCAUUUGAGCAUAAUUUACAAACUACCCAUUUUCAUACAUCAUGAACUUGCAAUUUCAUAAUCAACAAUUCAUUUAACAUCAAAUUAACACAUUCAAACAUAUCUCUACAACAUAAGCAAGAAUUUCAAAGAUUGGGUUCAUGAUAAUCACUUAUUCCCAUAAUCAAUUAUGCAUAGAACAAGAGAAAAAGAAUUAACUAAAUGAUUAUGAUAAAGACUAACCCCCUUACCUUAGAUGAAGAUUAACCCAAACUCUUGCUUCAAUUCAGCUCCUAAGCUUACCCAAAUUGAUUCCUCAAGCUAUUCUCUUCAAAACCCUUGUUCUUCUCUUCACCUCUUUCUCUCUCUACCUCUCUCUCUAGGAAAAUUUUAUGAAGUGAAUGAAAGAUAUUUUUUUUCUAUGACAACCCUAAUGUUAUCUCCCUUAAUGGGCUUAACUUAGUUUCUAGUGGGCUUAACCCAUUUCUAUUCAAACCACAAAUAUUUCUCUUUAACUAAUAACGGUAAAAUAUAACCAACGGUCACUAAACGGUAAAAACUAAUCACUACACUAGUAACUUAGUAAAAUAAGGGUUCUCACUAAAUAUUAAAGAUAAUUCUUACCAAAAUUUCCAUUUUACCCUUACCCGCCAAAUGACCAAAUACCCUUCUAAUACGGUAAUCUAUGUAAAUGCACCCAAUGACAAUUAAAUACACACAAGCACAAAUAAUCACAAACAAACACAUAAUAAAAGUAAUUAAAAUAAAUCUAGCUAAAAAUCGGGCUGUUACAUUUGGCACCACGUUUUUGGGCUCCAAACGUGGUUUAUUUUUGCCAAACGUGGUGUUGCACUUUUACAUGCUGUUUGGAUGACGAAAAAGCAAGUUUCUGAAAAGCGGUUUAUGUCUCCAAAACGCAAUUUUCUUGAAGCUGGAAUUCGGAGCUUCUACGGCAGAUAAAAACCACGUUUAAGCCUUUAAUUUCUCAAGUGGCAGGUACUUACCUAAUUACCCCUAAAUUCAAGCCUUCAAUUUCUCUUUCUCAUAGUUUUCUUCCUUUUCAUUACUUCACAUCACUUUCAAACUUAAAUUUUCUGCUAAUUGUGAAGAUUUUGCAUAUCCAAGAUUUCAAUUAUCUUCAGCUUUUCCCCAAUUUUUUCAGAUUUCAUGGUUAAUCUCAUUACUCAUGGUAGAUGUGUUGUUUGGGUGAAUUUAUUCCUUCAGCUUUUCCCCUAUAUAUGAUGCUUAUGAGCUACUUGUGAGAACCAUUCCAUUGCUCUGCCAAGGCCUGAAGGUAAAUACAUAUUCAUAUUUUUUUUGCUUUGAUUACUUGCUUCAAUAUUGUUAAUUUCUAUUUCUCUUUGCUCUAUUUGUUACAAGUUUUACAUUAAUUUUUCCAUCCUACAUCAAUGCAUUGUAUGUGUUUGAUAAAUAGUCUCAAAGAAAAAAAAAAUUCUUAUAUUGAUAUGUUUAUGUUGAUGAAUUUUCUUGACCUGUAGAAGUGAUUGUUUUGUUAUUAUUGAUGUUUAUCUUUAUUUUUAUUUUUUUUUAUUUUUUUGUGUUUUUAGCAAGGAGUCUAUUGUUUUUGUUUAAGGUACUUGGUGUGUUCAAAGUAAUUGAAUGAACUAACGUAAGAAAAGAAACUUAUAGCUUCAAGCCAUUGUUGUAAUUCUAAUUUUUGUGCCUUUACAAAAAAUUCCAAAGUAACAGAAUUUCUUCUAACACAAAGUAACAGAACUCACUCUUAGCACAAAGUAACAGAACUUCUUCUUGUAUUGUUUUUGUUUUCUGUUAUCAUUUUCAUUUGCACAAAACAAGGAUAUUGGUGUUAGUUUGAUCAAGUUGCUUAUGUAUAGUUUGUUUCAUUUUUUUUUUUGGGUUAAUAUGUCUUUACCCCCUGUAAUUUGGGCGAGUUUCGGUUUACCUCCUGUAAAAAUAAAAGUUUAGAUUCCAACCCUUUAAUAUGAAGAUUCUUCAAAAAACACCCCUAUAAUAUUAAGAUUCUCCACAAAACACCCCUGACCCCAUCCAGACGCUGAUGUGGCACGCCAUUGUGUAAUUAUUUUAAUUUUUUUUAAAACCUGACACAUGUGUAAUGGACGCUGACUGUAUAAUUUUUUUUAUUUUUUUUUAUUUUUUUAAAGGGUACACGUGGCAUUUGUGAUUUUAAAAAAAAAUAAAAAACGAAAACAAUUAUGGAAAAAUUAAUAAAAAUAAAAAAUAUUCUGAAAAAUAAAAAAAAAUAGCGAAAAAAUUAAUUAAAAUAAAAAAUAUGAUUAAACAAAUUCCGGAAAAUUUAAUAAAAUAAAAAAUAAUCUGAAAAUUUUAAUAAAAAUGAAAAAGAAUCUGGUAAAAUGAAAAAUAAUGAAAAAAAUUUGGAAAAAUUUUAAAAAGUUCUAGAAAAUUUUAAAAAAUAAUAAAAAAAUCUGGAAAAAGUUAAAAAUAUGAGAAAAAAAAUUUAUAUUUCUGGAAAAUUCAGGACCUUAAAAUAUUUCAAAAUUCUUGAAUAUAAUAAGAAAAUAUAUUUUAUUUUUAAAAAAAAAAGGUUCAGAUUUUUCUUUCGAAAUUAAUUUUUUUUUUAUUUUUUUAUACAAAAAAUAAAAAUAUUGGAAAAUAUUUCAAUAAUUAGAAAAACAUAACAUUAGAACAUGAAGAAUAGAAUUAAGGGCUUGUUUUUCAAUAGUAUAACAUGACUUAUAUACCGGUGUCAAUCAAAAUUCAUUGUAUCUUGUUAUUCAUCUAGAUUAUAUUUUCGAAUAAAAUAAAAUUCUAGAAAUAAAUUUUCAUAAUCAAAAUAACUAUAUAAUAUUAUAUUUUUCGAUUUUUUUAUAAUUUAAAUUUAAUUCAGAUUUUUUUUUAUAUUUUUUGAAAAUUUUGAUAUAUAUAAAUUUUUUCCAGAAUUUUUUAUUUUUUUUGAACUUUUUCCAGAUUGUUUUGUUUAUUGUCGUGAUUUUUUUCUUAAAUUUUCUAGAUUUUUUAAUUUUUUCAGAUUUUUUUUAUUAAAUUUUCUAUAUUUUUUCAUAAUUGUUUUUUCAUUUUAAUAAUGUUUCUAGAAUUUAUUAUUUUAUUUUUAUUUUAAAAAAAUAUAUACAAAUGCCACGUGUACCCUUUAAAAAUAAUAAUAAUACAGUCGUCACGCUACAUAAUCAGAUAUGCACAGUCAGCAUGCCAUUUCAGCUCGCCACGUCAGCAAUUCUGUACAGUCACAUAGGUCAGGGGCUAAAGUCAAAUAAUCUUAUUUUACAGGGUUGGAAUCUAAUCUUUUUUUUUACAGGGGGUAAACCGAAACUCGCCUAAAUUACAGGGGGUAAAUACAUAUUAACCUUUUUUUUUUUUUUUAUCAUACUUUUGUGUAUAUAGUAAUAUGGACUCACUUAAGAGAAAAGUUUCUGCUAACCCCCCUUCAACUAACAAUGAGGGUCAAAGUUUCAAAGCUAGUUUAAAUAUUAGUUUGCAAUAAUUUUCAAUAUUAUAUUGCACUUGAACUUAUAUUAUCUAUUAUCUAUAUGUAAUAUACUUUAGAGCCUUGCCAUUUUUUAUACAUAUUUAGAAAUCUAUGAUUAUGUAUUAAUAAUUUACGUAUAUUUUAGUUUACAAUUGUGUAAUUUCUCAUUUGUUUUACAUCUUUUUAUGCUUAUAUUAUUUUAUUAAAAAUCACCCAAUUGAUAAAAAAAAAUAAUAUUAAAAAUAACAUAAAUUUAUAUUAUUUUAAAAUUAAUUUUAGAACCAAUAGAAUUCAUGUAUGAUAAGUUGAAAUAAUUUUUUUUUAUGAGAAUGAGUUUUAAAUACAAUUAAAAUGAUAGUUUAGUCAUUAUACAUUCAAAAUCAAUUUUGAUUCAAACUAUCCAAACAACAUCAACCCGCAAGAAUCACUUUUAGUAUCCAAACAUAAAUCAAUUCACAUUCAACUCACUUUUAACCAAAAUCAAUUCUCUCAAACUCAAUUCUAUCAAAAUCAAUUCUCCUCGCCGCCAUACCAAACACACACUAAGAUUAAGAAGGAAAAGAUGAAGGGAACUGGCUACAAAUGGUAUUAUUAAUGUGGCUUGGUGGAACUCUUUACCCUUCUUUACUAGGGAUGACUUUUAUAAAGACCACUAUGGAUUUUUAAAUUAUCGUUCUCCAUAUCUCUUUGUAUUUUAAUUUUGUUUUUUGUUUUGGUUUGGUCCUCCUCUAGUACGGUUUUUCAUUUUUUUAAUAAUUUUUUUUUAGAUCAAGCUGGCAUAGGAUGGGGUGGUUUUGGAGUGUGAACAUAGUUGGAAUGUCAAACCUUCUUUUGAUGUCUUCUUUUGCUCAUGAUUUAGAAGGAAAAAAAAAAUUUAAUUACAAUAUAUUUCUCUAAAUUGAUUGAUUUCUUUCCUAAAGACACAACAGAAUUAAUCAACUAUAAUUGAUUUAUUUUUUUUACUUGGAUGAAAGUGAUUCAUAUGCCAAACAGAGCCUAAGUAAUUAAAAUAACAAAUUAGUUUAAAAAGGUAACUACCUGGAAUACGCAUUAGAAUGAAUCAGUAUUAGAGAGAUUAGAAACACCAGUAUUGAUUUGUGAGAAAACCAAGAUCUUUGAUCUGUAUCAUUUAAAAAGGAAAGACCAUCAACAGAACCAUUAUCAUUCUUCUUGUCUUUCUUCUUUUUUGACACAAAAUCAUGAAACUUGAGUAGCUAUACUGCAAUAGGGAGAAAAAGGAAGAAGAAAGACGAUUCAUUUAGUGAUGAAGCAGAAGAAGUUUGAAGAAAGUGGUAUUGCUAGCUUCAAUGACAUUGCUGAGGAAAAUAAAUAGAGAUCUAUACACAAAAUUAUGAAAGACAAGAAGAUUCAUACCAAUUGAACAGCAAGGAUGUUUCUGGUCAUCUUCAUUUUCAAUGUUGGAGCUUAUGACUUCACCUCCAAUUGAUGUAGGUUGUAACUCAUCAUUAUAAUUUCCCUGGCCAUCUUCACUUUCAUUGUUAGACCAAUCAGACCCCACACCAAUUUCCCAACCAUCCAGAUUCGACUUAUGUUCUAAGUUAUAUACAGGUAAGACCCCACACCCCUUUAUCCCCUCUGUUGACCACCACAAUUCUUCAUUGAAAUCUUGAUGCAUGAAUUGAAAUGAUAGGUUGCAAUCAUUACUUCCAUGUUUCCGUCUGUUGUAAGGAUGCCAACAUAUCAAUACGUGAUCUGAAAUUAAUGUCCCAUUAUAUUCGUAAACAACAAGAAUACACUUGUCGACUUCUUUGCCGUGUUCAAAGAUGACACAAUGCAGGGGGUGAUUGAGAUCAUGGAAGCCCUUAGAAAGAAUGGUGCAGAAUACGAAACCAGACAGGUUAUAUUUUGGAAUCGGAGGAAUGGUUAUUGAAGCCUUCAUUGUUUGAAAAUCAAACUUGCGAGGAACUUGUGCUCCUGGCAAGAAAUAGACAUCAUAAUAGGAACGGUUAUUGACAUCUUUAUUUGCAUGAAAAGGGUCUUUAGAGAAGAUUUGUACUAUGUUCUCAAGAAAUGACCGUUGAGUGGAGUCUGUGUCCAGAUAAGUGCAAUUAAUGGCACUCAAACAUAAUAGGGAUGGCGGAAGCUCUGUUAGAGACACAAGUUUCCUGCAAUCAUCUAAAACUAGCCAUUUUAGCAUUGAAUGGUUUCGUAUGUUCUCAGGGACACAUUCCAAGUUGCAACAAUCUUGCAAUGAGAGCCGUUUCAAAGAUUGUAUGCCAUCAAGGAUGGACCACAGACUUAAUGCAUUGAUUUCUGUGCACCGUGAAAGGUUUAGUUCUAUAACAGACCCAAGUCCAUGAUCAUCUGAUAACUUAUUCCCAACAAUGUUAAGCUUGUUACACUCGGUUAGGGAAAGAGAAGUAAGUUUUCUGUUACGCCAAAUCGAUGAAGACAAUUCACGUAUAGCAGUGCCAUCUAAGGUCAACUCUGUCAUUUCAUCCGAUGUCACUGAGAAUUCUGUGAGAGAAGAACAACCAUCGAGUAAGAGUUCACAAAGAGAUUUUGAAUGAAUGUUGGUUUUAAGGCUUUCAAUCUUUUUGCAACCUCGUAAAUCUAGAUAUCUAAGAUCAGGGAGAGAAAAGAUCGAAGAAUGGAGCUGACCCAGGCUUUCACAUUGAAAAAGAUAUACUCUAUGAAGAUUUGUAGCCUUAGAUAAGUCUGGGAUCUCAAUCAGAUUUUUGGAGGAUUCAAGCCAAAGUAUGUUUAGAUUCACAAGAUUCUGUAACAAGAAAUAAAAACACCAUUGAGAAACCGUUAAAUUCAUAAUCACGUGUGAGUGUUGAUUAAAAGAGAAACUAAACCUAAUUAAGCAUAAAUAGAGACUUUUUAAGAAUGAGCAUUAGACUUCCUCUCAUACUUCGACAAAUUAACAAGUAUAUCCAAACAGAAUUGUACCUGAACUCCAUCCCAUAGCUUUUUAAGCUUGCUAUGACUCAAGUGAAGCUCUAUGAGCAUUUCAGCACAAAAGGUUGAUGGCAAAUACUCAAGACAGUAUCCUUCCCAUCGAAGAUACCUCAAUUUAUCAGAAAUCCACUCAAGACCAUCGAGAAAGUACACAUUGGAUGUGCUUCUUCUAGAUUUAUUAUAGAUUUUAAGAUAUCUUAAAUUUGUCAUCCAUCUAAAGGAAUUAGACUUCAAGUAAAGAUCCCCCACAUCUGUACUAUCGAAUGUUAUCCCUUCGACAGCUUUAGUUCCCUGAUAAAAGUUAAAUUAAUAAUUAGGAAUGAUUGUCACAUAUACUUUCCUUGUUAUAUUUCAUAAUCAAAUACAUGUGUUAUUUUCAUGUAGAAGUGAUUGCAUCCUCUACUUACCUUGUUAUUUUUCAAUACAUCAAAUAUCUCUUCAGCUUUCCACAGUCGACUUCGUUUUCCAGGAUCUUCAGAUUCUUGAUUAACAAUCUCCCGUCCCAUUUCUUGUAACAAAUCAUGCAUUUCUAUAGUACAAACUUCCCUUUUGACAUGCAAAAUUGAAUCUAGUUGAAUGAGAGCUUUAUCUAGAAGGACGUCUAUCCCACUUAUUGCAAAGAACUCAGAAGCUUCCAAUAGAUCUCUAACAAAAUCUUUACCCUGUCCACUCAACAAGCAUGCGAUGUCUAGAAAUAUGGCCUUUUGACAACGAUCUAAGUCAGCAUAACUAAAUUUUAACACAUUAUAAAUCUUUUGAUUGGGAAUCUUUUGGAGCUUUUUCAGUUCAUUUUCCCAUGCUUCUCGGCCCCUUGAACUGAGAUUUGCACCUAAAACUUUUAAAGCCAGAGGGUUACCUUUGCAAUAGGCAAUUACACUAUCUGAUACAUCUUCAUAUCCAGUUUUAGGAUGUUUUUCUUUGAAGGCAGUCAAACUGAAUAGCUGAAGAGAAUCAGGCUUCUCUAAUUCCUUAACCUCAUAUAUUUCACAUUUACUCAACUGACUAAAUAUGUGCUUAUCUCUAGUUGUAAUAAUGACCCUACUACCUGGUCCCAGACCAUCAAUUUUUGGGAUAAGAUCUUCUAUUUGCUCUAAGGUUUCUACACCAUCCAACACAAUUAAAACUUUUUUACGACCAAUCCUUCUCUCGGAGAAAGGGGCUUCUAUGUAGGAUGCAUCAGGAUGAAUAUUUUCUUCCUCUAACAAUGAAGACAAAAGUUUAUUGAGUACAACAUUAAGUCCAUACUUGUUUGAUUCAUCCAUUACAUUGAGUAAGCAACAACCUUCGAAUUGAGAAUACAUUUUAGCAUAUAAAGCCCUAGCAAGGGUGGUCUUUCCUAUGCCACCCAUGCCCCAUAUUCCAAGGACUCUGACUUCAUGUGACCCAAUUUUCAGCAUUGAUUCAAUUUGUUUAUAAUUCUUCUCAAUUCCAACAAGACCCUUAAUUUCAUAUGGGUAUCUAAGAUUCAGUUUCCGCAAAACAUCUUCAACAAUGUCCUUAAUGAAAUCUGGUUCACUCCUAACAUAGGAAAGAGGGCGAAGAAUGUUUUACAACAGAAGAAAAUACAUCUAUGUGAUUAGUGCAUAACAAAAUUUAUGGUAAACAUGGAGGCAGAGUAGAGCACAUAAAGAAAAUCAAUUACGUAAGACACAGAAGAUAAUUAAUGUCUUAUUUUUUUAGGAAGUGAAAUCCUAAAGAAAAUUUCAAAAAAUUUUAUAGAUUUUAAAAAAUUGUAUGAUAACUAUGGGCAGGCACAUCAGCAUCAUUGUUUACUUUCUAAAGUUAUUAUUAGCUUUCAUUUUCUCAAAUUUAUGUUCAUUUCCAAUCACGAAUAUGGAGAUGAAAAACUUGUGUUGUAAAAAAUUGUGCUAUAUUAGAAAACAAAACUUGCAAAUCAUAGGAUAUAGUUUAUUGAUUUACUUAGGAUAGUUCGUUUUACUUACCUGUAAUUUCGAGAGUCCCAACCAACCAAAUUAGCUGCCUCGGUGAGAGAAUCUUUCCAUUUCUUCAACUUGUCAUUAUUGUGCUUCAAAUCUCGCUUAUGUUUUGCAAAGGCUUGCUUGUAACUCCCGGUCUGCUUCCUCACAUGUGAUGGAUCUAUGUUGUAAAAAACUGGUAUCACAAUCUGCUCCAUAUAUUUCUUACAUUCAAGAAUCUUUUUGAGCUCAUUCAAGCACCAUUUUGACGAAGCAUAGUUUUCUGAGAAGAUGACAAUAGAUGCAUGUGACUCCUCAAUGGCUUUGAUGAGUGCUGCCGAGAUCUCAUCUCCUUUUUGAAGCUCAUUGUUGUCUAUAAAGGUUUCAACUUUCUUUCGGCUCAGAGCGUCGUAAAGAUGGCUAGUGAAGUUUCUGCGAGUAUCCUCACCUCGAAAGCUAAGAAAAAUGUCAUAUUUU
rnacentral:lncRNA from 1 species